UUUCUUUUCAUUUUUCCAGCUAAGGGGAAAGAAAAUAAAUGAAAUAAAUUUUGAAUUGACAAUAAAUAUUGUAAUGAGCCCUGAAGUAAUUUGGAAGCAUUUGCUACUAAUGCAUCAAUUAUCAAUAUUUUCCUAUUCAUGGCUCCAAAAACAUUUUCGAGAAGUAUACGAUAAGAUAUAAAAGAAAGAUAAACUACUCAGAGGUUGAAUAUAAAAGUGAGGUCGGAGACAAAAAUGGCUACUUUCUUAAAUGGUUACUUUCUUUUCAUAUAAUCAAAGGAUGCAUUAUCACGUGAUAUUCUGUUGUAGCUUAGUAAGUUACAAGUUUGAAUUCAUUUUUCUUAGAUACUAAUUUACCCCCACUCCGCAUCCAUUAUCUAGUAUUGAGAUAAUAAUUUGAUAGCACUAAUUGUAUAGAAUUAAUCACACAAUAAUUAAAUAUUAGAUCAAAAUAUAUUGUGUGUAUUCAAUGUCUCAGUCAAAAUUCGAUCACCAUCGUAAAGAAUGUACUAUAUAAAACAUUUAGACUCAAAUUUACUUGAAAUCGCAGACUAGCGUCUAUUUUUUUUUUAGAUUUGUAAAAUCUUUGUUUAACAUACCACUAAUGAUUUCUAAUUGUCACUGUAACGUAAUAACGUGUUUGUCAUUAAAGUAUGUCUGUGAAGAAUAAAUGUUUUUUUAGCUGUCUUAACUAUUUCUUAACAUUCACAGAGAAAAAUAUCACUGCUUUUUGUUCCUUUUUAUCCACGUACGUUUAUAUCCACGUACUUUAGGUGGCAGAUCAGUAAUGUAUCAUGUUUCAGAUUAAAAGCCCUUCUAGGCAUUGUGUCGACUCUAAAGAUAUUAUAAUGAAUGGAAUCCAAAACUGCUGUCACAUUGCAAAAACAAAAAGUGUAAAAUAAAAUAAAAACAAACACGUAGUUCAUGAAAAUAUUUUAUCUCUUUUGCUCUGAGCGUGACAAAUAACUUUUAGCACCGAAACAUUGCAGCGUCUUGCGACUGUGGAAUGACAAAUAACCUGGAAAUGCCUGAAGAUGUCAUGAAAAAAACUUAGAAAAAACAAUGGUUUAGGAUUGCAAAUUUUCUCUCAUCUUAUAUAACACUACCAUGUCAAAUAUUUCAUUAGCUUUGUCACCUUUAUUUAAAAAGGAAACAGAAGUAACUUUCAAAUAUUCUGUCAAUUAGGAAAAUCUUUGUAAAAACGAUUUUUUUUCAGAGUUGAUAGUAAAGUCCACUUCGUGAUAUGUCGUUUCGUUUACCAUUAUAGCGUCAAUUUCAUUUUGAACACAGAAAUCAGUUUCACUUGUAUGUAAACAUCCUUAAAAAUAACUUCUUGUUAUCUGAAUGAUACGAAAGAUGGUAUGAUACAAAAGAUAGUAAAACCUCCCCUUAUCUUUCAUUUACAUCGAUAAAAGUAUCACAACAAUAUACAGCAGGUAUAUGAGACAUUAAAAAUAUAUAAAUAAGAGAGUUAUUUAAAAUGCAUGACGUUUAAUGAAAAUUGAUUAAAUUCAACGUGUUUAAAACUCUCUUAGUCCCGACCUACGGAGAUAUUAUGAUAGUUUUAUAAUUUGUUUAAACUAUAGUUUGAGCAUUUGUAGGAACAUUAUCUACCUUUUCAUAACAAAAAUAUCUUAUUUUCUAAUCUUCUAGAAUAUAUUACAGGUUUUCUUUAGAAUUUCUGUUCUAGCAUCAGUAGUUAACUCUUCCCGAGGAGAUAAACAACAUACUAACACUUAUUAGCUCACAACACAUAACAUAAUUAGAAAAAAACUUUAAAACACAGAACAAAGGCCUUCCGUUCCAUUAUUUUCAAACUAUCGACAGAAUACAUUCUCAAACGAACUGCUUGCAACGCUUUCAUUCUCUGUUUUUCUUCCUAUCCUUCAUUCAUUGAUUAUUCCGACAUUUUUAUAUUUUCCUCCAGAAAUACAGCUCGUACACCGCUGUCUGCAAAACGUUAUCAUAAAAUAUCCAUUCUCUGUAUUGAAUAGUAAUUUCAUAAUUGGAUUUUGUUUUUUCUUUUAUUUUUUGUUAUAUUUCUCCAGUUAAUGUUUUCGAUUAAGCGCCUUUGUUUUUCUUUGGGAUAAUCUUUGUCUUUCAUUAUAAAUGUGAUUUUUUUUCAGAUUUUGAUUUUGUGUUUAAUUGUCUGUACAGCCGAAAAGGGUUUUGUAAUAAUAGGCUGAUAAAUCAUCAUUCGACGGUCGAGAAUAGGCAAUACUGGUUGCAUAUAGUGGUUUGUUUAAACGAGAGAACCAAAUAAAUAUGGAGAAUGAUAAAUCAUUAGUUCCUUCUUUAAAAAGAGAGAAAAUAAUGAAAACAGUUAGUUUAGUCACAUUAGAGUUAAAUUGGAUUUAUUUUCACGCUAAAUACAUAUAUCUCUUGAAUUAUCUACGAUUAUAUGUACACAUAACAUGUACAAAACAUACACGUAUACACUCAAACAUAUACAGAUUCUGAGAAAAGCACAAAUUUCUUAAAAGUUAGGAACGUAUAAUCAUAUUCAACUAAUUCGCCUAAAAUUAGACAUGGAAAGAUAUACGCUGCAUAAAUAUUCUCAAGAGAAAAUUUCUGUUUCUUAAACAGCACGAGAAACGCACUGUUGGACUGUGAAUGACGUCAUCUGAUCUUAGGUAACAUGCAUUCUCUGUUAAUAGUCGUCGUCAGUUACGCCAUAACCACUAAGAACACGCUGCUCAUAUAUUUUAAAAAUCAAAUGAUUAUUUGCUGAUGUGCGCAAAACUUUGUUAACUUGCAAUAAAUUAAUCACAAACGCACUAAACAGCGUUGGAUUUAACAUAGGUGUUUACAGUAACAUUUAACGUGUUCCCGUAUACUCUGGUUUGGAAAAAAUAUCCUGUAAAAAUUGUCUACUAAGCAAGUAAAACAAAUAUAGCUACGCUUGCGUAUGUUAAAACUCUUCUGGCUAACGAUGAUAAAAGACAACACGCUAUUAUCAUGUCUUCAGUGAAGAGUGCUUAAGUGCAAGUAUACUUAAUAUGGUCAAUGUCUGUUAUUAACUCGGCAAUAAUGAUCCUUUCCUUCUUGUUGUUUUGUCCUAAUCGUCCCUGGUAGAGCGACCUAUAUACAUAAUCAUAUAUGUUCAAACCACGAACAAUUUUUUCUGAGCUAUCCCUUAUCUAAUUUUAUUGCACAGAAAGAGUGUACGUAUGCAUGCAUGUAUGUAUGUAUGUAUGUAUGUAUGUAUGUAUUUGUGCAUGAAUAAAUCUGUUGAGGAAGAUUAUGUGUGUGACGCAACAUCGUAAUUUUACUGGUACAUACUUGCUGAAGAAAGGCUUUACUUAAAUUGUAAAAGUUUCCCUCUAAUAUACGCAAAAUAGCUUGCAUUUUCUUCCCCAACAUCUUCUUGAGGAAUAACAUUUGGGUUUCUAAUAUUCAUAUCAGGAAGAAAUUUGGUUGUCGGCGAUAGCGUGUCUAACAUAAAGAAAACCAAAUACGAAUUUAAAUCGCGAAUCUAAUUUAUGUUAGAGCUAUUUGCACACUACUUUUGAGUUGAACUUUCUUCGUUCAAAAGUACUUUCUCGAAAUUUUAAUUACGAUUGCCUAACAUUUUAUUUCAGAAAUUAUUCAAGAUAAUCUUAUAAUUUAUUUUCUAAACAAACAAUUUUAUCGUGUUAUAUCUAACCUGAUAUAUUGAUGCUUAACGAUGAAUGAGUGAAAUCGGAAUAUUUUUAUAAGAAUUUCUUCAUUAAGAUUUAUACAAUAGUCUGUAAUAUACGUUUGCUUUAAAAUGCAAUUAAAAGUGUGUGGAGAAAAUAUUGCAGCAUUCAGGGGCGAUCUCUAGUGCAAAUUACAAUCAAAUUUACACUUAAAAGCUCCAAAUGUAUAAAAAAAAAUGGGUAGGGGAAGAGAAUGAAGAGGUAGUUUUUAUUUGACGGGAAUUGAGAGGGAAGAAGAAAGUAAAAGAAGAAAUGUUGUAUGAAGCACACACACAAACACAACACACACACACACACACACACACACACACACACACACACACACACAUGCACACACACAUAUGCACACGUAUACACGCACACACAUAAUUUGAAUUGGAAUAUAAAAAUAUAUAAAUAGAUGUGUGAGUAAAACAAUGAAUACAUACACGAAUAUAAAGGUAGUAAGACGCGUGAAAGGAAAGCUGUGAGGUUAAAAGAAAAUGAUAUGAAUAGAAAUGGAUAUGAAAAAUCUUAUGAAAUGGAAAGGAAAAGGAAUUUUAUAUGGCAAUAGUGAGUGGAAAUGCAGUGUGCAGCUUAGACAGUCGGUGCAAUGGAGAAAAUGAAAGAAACAUACAAACCUAAUAUUAAAUCUCGUCUAUUUAGGAAGACAAACAAGGAAGAAAUAAUUGAGUAGAGAAACAAACGGUCAUACACGAUAGAAAAAUUAGAAAUGACUGAAAUAAUGACGGAAAAAUAUGUUUGCAAGAAAUCAAAAAUUCAUGUCUUUCGUUUCGUGUAUACUCGGUUCAUGAUCAAAUGAGUAAUAUGAACAACUGUAUUUAUAAAGCGGUACAAGCCUAAAAAGUCUAGGUCGAGCUGACAAUUUCAAGAGACAAAUGCAUUUGGAUAAACUUGUUUCUCUGGAUGUUAGAAAGACUAGAAAUCUUGAUGAAAACGUAUUCUGAAUUUGUUCUCAGUUUCUCCGCUGUAAGUUAUGAGUUUUAUGUUAUUGCCUGCAAGUGCCGUUUAUUUAUUUAUUUUUUACGUAUUAAAAUUUCAAAUAAAUUUCAGAAAAAUAUCUAACGGCAAAAAUAGUCACAAAUAUGAAACAUUUAAGACGAAAUGGACCGCUGGUCAACAGUAUAGCAGACCGUAUUCAUACCGAAAAUUAAUAUUCAGGGAGUUCGAGAAAGGAUCUAACAAAGUGACUAUGUUAUUGAUCAAGUGGUUGUUAAUGAAAAUCGUGGCAUCGCAUGAAAGAAAUUUACAGUUGAAGUGAGCAAAUUCAUGUUAGUUUAUGGCUCUUCCAUGAUGUAUUAAUAACUUUGAUUUACGCACAAUAUUCUUAUACACUUCAUUAGUUUUAUCCUCCUUUUCAUUGCUCUUUACUUGAUUUAAAUUCUUAAAUAUAAAGAGCUUAAAUUUACUGCUUAUUUUUCUUUUUUCGAAUUGAGUCAAGUGUAAAACAAAACAGCUUAUAUAAAAUUCUAUAUAGCAAUUUCUGAUCAAGUGUUGUGAACAGGAAUCGCAGGAAAGACAAGAUGUACAAACAAAUUUAGGUACAUAGCUUGCGGAAUAUUAUGGUAAAUAUUUGAUAUUUCGCAGCAAACCCAAAUGCUUGUAUCUAUAUUUAUUUUUUAAAUGUUAACUGUGUGUCUAUGUAUACACAUAAAAGUAUGUACACAUAGACACACUUUCUUGUUCAGACACAUAUAUAUGUAUGUAUGCAUAUUUGAAUAUUAUAUACAAAUGCCAAUGUCUAUAGCUAUCCAAAUUUUUUCUCUCUCUCUCUGUCACUCACUCACUCAAUCUAUGUAGUAUAUAUGAGUGUGCAUAUGUAUAUGUGUGUAUAUUCAAUAUAUAUAUAUAUAUGAAUGUGCAUAUAUAUAUAUAUAUGUAUAUACAAUAUAUAUGUAUAUAUAAAAAUGCACACACAUAUGUAUACAUGUGUAUACAUGUGUGUGCAUGUAUAUGUAUGUGUAUACACACACACGCAUACACACACAUUCACACACACAGACACACACACAUAUUCUGCUUAUAUUGUCUAAGUCACUCGCUGAACGUAUAUUUGAAUGUGACUAAGAUACAUGAAUAUUCUUAUAAAUGUUUAUAUUAAGAGAAAGCGUUACACACACAUCCACACACUGAAAAAGAGACACAAACAUUUUCACACACUCUAACAUGCGUAUAAAGUGGGAGAGAGGGAGAGAGAGAGGAAAAGAAAGAAUGAGAGAGAAUGUGUAGUAGAAGAGGAGUGAGUGUAAACGUAAAUAAACGGGAAAUAAACGCAAGCAGUGAAGAUAUUCCUAUCAAAAUAUAAGAAGGCAGUUCAAGAGAUAUGCAAACAAACAAUGUGUAUAGUGAAGAAAUAGAUGAUGAGUUAUGUGGAUAUUGUCUAUGUUUGCAUGUAAUCGUAACGUAAUAGAGAUAAAUGCUGCUGCUGGUUACAGAACAAGCAAUAUUUCGGGUCAAUAAAAUGUAAUAAUCAUGAUAUUUAUGUGCCGUUUAUGAGCAUAUAUCAAUAUCAUACAGUUGUUAUAUCUUCAUGUAAAAUUCAAUUGUUGGACAGGGUGAUUAAAAAUACCCCCUCUCUCUCUCUUUAAAUGCCACGUAUAAUUAUACGGUGUAUACUAAUUUUAUAUUCUAUUUCUAUUCAUCGAAUAUUUAAGGAUGCAUUCAAACUUAUCACAGGAAUAUGGAGUCUCAGUCAUAAGAAACGUGACGCGAUCUUAAUUAUAUCUGUGCUCAUAGUUUCACUUGUCAUCUACAAGACAUCACAAAUAAAUAAUUACAUACUUACCAGUCCAGUAUCUGCAUUAGUUACAUUUAUUGUCAUGCAUGUGACCAUGAAACUUCAAUCAUUCAAAUUUUAGAAUUCUUCAUUGUUAUAAAUAUAAUGUGAACAGCCAGUGAAUAUUUUAUGUUUAGUCGCAUGGUUGCCGUAAUCUUUAUGGGGGAAACGCCGUUUAACUUUACGACUCUACUACUACUGGCUGAGGUUACUAUAGCUAUCCUCUGUAGCAUGCGCUAUCGUUUCAAGUAUUGCAUAGCUCGUGUAUAUUGUUUGUACUACAGUGUAGAGUCUACCCAAGAUCUCGUCCUUAAUAUAUUCUACCGUAUCAAGUCUAUCCUUUCUCUUGUCUAUAGUAUGUAAUACUCUAUCAAAGAUGCCAUAUCUCUCGUCCACAGAAUGGACUUUGAUUUGAGAAAUGUGGUUAAAUUUUCAGAUAACCUACAAUAUUUUGACAGUUAUGUAUUUAGAACCCGAUUUUUAAUGUGGACACAGAGUUAAUAAUGUUUGUGAUGGCUAUCACUAAGGAUACGUACUAUAUAACUUGGAAAUAACACCUCAGUUUUGGAAUGACUGCGUUACUUAUACGUACAUUAAUAAAAAAUGAUGGGUGAGGUAGAAAAUAGUAAGAGGAAAAGAGGAGACAUUAAACAUAAGCGAGUACAUACUCUGGGAACAAACAUGAUUUUUCUGAACUGGGAGGCCUCAUGAUUCGUAGAAAUUCCGAGCAGAGAGAGGGGAGAGAUAGAAAGACAAAGAGAUGGAGAUAGAGAGAGAGACAGAGGGAGAGAAGGGGAGAGAGCGAGAAACAGAGAGAAGGAAAGAGAAAUAGAGGAGAUAUAUGGCAGCGAGCUGGCAGAAUCGUUAGCACGUCGGGCGAAUUGCUUAGCAGUACUUCGUCUGCCGUUACGUUCUGAGUUCAAAUUCCGCCGAGGUCGACUUUGCCUUUCAUCUUUUCGGAGUCGAUUAAAUAAGUACCAGUUACGCACUGGGGGUGAUGAUGUAAUUGACUUAAUAAUUUUGUAUGUCCUUGUUUGUCCCGGACAUCCUUGUUACUUAUUUAUAUUCAAUAUAUAUAUAUAUAUACAUCAUUAUUCUUCAUUUAGGGAUAGCAGUAAACGUUAUAGCACAGGACUAAGUAAAUUGGUUUGGUAUCUUAAAGACAACAAUAAGGAUUUUAAGUUAGAUUGCUUCAUCCUGUCCAUAUCUUUCCCUUAAGACAAGGGCAAAGGAUUUUGUAACAUUUGAAGCUAUGAACUCUUCCAUACUCGCUUCUCUAAGAAUCACCUUGUUAACACACUUAUAGAGCGAUGUUACAAAUGUAAGCACUGGCAGAAACAUACCUUUAGCUCAUAUAAGUGAUUUUACCAGUCUUUAUAGUUUGAACAUUUAGUUCACCUUGCACUUUACUUCAGUAGAGAAAUCUACUUCCAAGACUUUGAACAUUUUUUCAACCAAUAUAUCCCUCUUUAUUUGUUCUCUACUUAUUAUUUCCUUACCCCUUCUCUUUCUAGGGUCUGCCUUUGACGUCGAAUCUACUAACAUUUAUGCAAUCAUCAAAAUUGUUAUAAUGUCUUGUUGAGAUAGGUUCUCUUUCUUUCCUGAUGAGAAGAUUACAUUACUUUACACUGUUUAUUCCUUUGGAAUAAAACCAAUGUUAUCUUCGAAACAUAUGUCGAAAGUAAAACAAUUUGAAUAACAUCAGCGUUCAGCUCCAUUUAUAUAUAUAUAUUAAAUAUAAAUAAGUAACAAGGAUGUCCAGGUAUCAAUACAUUAUGGCCAUUUCGAGCGGCUCCAUUUAAUCGAUCAAUGAAAACAUUGCAUCAAUUUGAAAGAAAUUGAUCUCCACAGACGUGGAUUUCCAACAUAAAGGAUAAACCAUUUUAACAAAUUUAUAUCAAUACUAGAAACCAAAAUAAUUACAUUGUUUCCUUGUGUCAUAUUUGUGGAAGCAUUAGUUUAGAAAUAUAAUGCAAGGCGGUGCUCCAGCAUGGCCGCAGUCAAAUGACUGAAACAAGUAAAAGAGUAAAAGAGUAAAAGAGAUACCUUAUUAAGCGUACUAUAAUUUAGAGAGUAGCGAAGUAAAGUAGUGGGGGUCGAGAUAUUGGAGUGGUGAGAUAGAUAUUUAUAUUUAGAAGAUUUUAUGCAGCAUGUAGUCUACAACCAUUUAAAAUUAAAUCCAUUAGGAGUUGUCAACUGCGUUCUAGUUGAUGGUGAUUAAUCAAUUAAUGUCAGACAUUCUCCCAGACUCUUACUUUACUGGAACCAUAUAUCUAACUUUAUCUACAUAACAGGAUGUGUUUCAGAGCUGCCAGUAAGAAAAUGACUGAUGGUGAAGAGGUGAUAACUAGCAGAAGGAAAGAUAGGAGUAGCCAAUACUUAUUUAGAUUAUGAAAUAAAAGGGGAAUAUAAUGAAAAAUAAAAGCGAUAAUAUAAGCUCUAAGGGUGGAAAUGUAUUGAUAUCAGGACAUCAUUGUUGCUUAUUAACAUUCUGUCCACCUAUAGUCAGCUGUACUAACUAUACCGAACUAGUUUGGUAUCUCAGUUUAAGUACCUAAUUCAAAUGAAUCUUAAUUAUAUAUAUAUACUGAGACCCCCUUCGGUCACGACACAGACCAUGGGAUUGCACCUAGGAAGAUACCCUACCAUGCAUAAGUCCGGGCAAGGUUGUUUAUAGAAGAUCAGCAGUCGUCCAUGGAUACCGGCUUCCCCUCUCCAUGCCACCAGUGUUACCCAAGGGAAAGGCAAAGGCCGAUACAGCUUGGCACCAGUGACGUCGCAAGUCAUUUCUGAGUGAACGUGAAAUAAAGUGUCUUGUUCAAGAACACAACACGCAGCCCGGUCCGAGAUUCGAACUCUCAACCUCACGAUCAUAAGCUCAACGCUAUAACCACUGAGCCAUGCGCCUUCACAAAGGUAAAGUCGAGCUCGAUGAAGUUUGAACUCAGAAUGUAAAGACAACCAAAAGGUGACUAAGCAUUUUGUCGGGUGUGCUGACGAUUCUGCCAUUUCGUCGCCAUAUAUAUAUAUAUAUAUAUAUAUAUAUAUAUAUAUAUAUAUAUAUAUAUAUAUAUAUAUAUAUAUAUAUAUAUAUACAUACAUACAUACUCACAGACACAUGUACCUACAUACAUAAAUGCUUACAUGCAUGCAUAUAUAAACGCACAUACUACACGGCUUUUAAUAAAGAAGAUUCCAAGAUUUUUACAAAUUCGAAUUAUUUACAUUCUAUAUUUCAUUUUAAUAAUUCUGGAUAACGAAAACAAGUUGUAUAUUAACGCAUCUAAUGUGGUUUACUUUCCAUUGUAACCGAGAAAGCCAAGAAUAUAUCUCCUCUCUAGAGUCAUUGUAUUUGAUUUGAAUUUUAUAGCUUCAUAGCGUUGCUUCAUUGACUUUGGCGACGUUUAUAUCCACUGAGCAAUUUUCUUUCAUAACGACUCUCGUUCAGUAGGAUUUGUAAAAGCUUUUGAUGUUUCUUUUAAACCAUUUUGCCUUUUAACUCUAAUUCAGAUUAAACAGUCUCUUGGGGGUGUAGCAGGUUGUUCUCUUUACUCAGGCGUUUCGUUUAAUUUUUUUUGCUUUGUUUUCCAAAUGGCUUCUAGUGUUUCUUUAAUAUUGCUUCUAUUGUUUCAAUAAUAAAAUUAUGAAUACACUAUAAAUAAUUAUUCAUGAUAUAAUAUAAUAUAAUAUAAUAUAAAUACUCUAUUCUAUUCUAUUACAUUACAUUACAUUAAAUUAUUUGAAUAUAAUAUGAUAUAAAUAUAAUGCAAUAUAUUGGGUUGUCCGGAAAGUUCGUGCCGAUUUUUAAAGGAAAGAAAAAGGUCAAUAAAUACUUGCCAUUACAUUUUUAAUCAACCAAAUAUGAACCAUUUUGUUGCACAAUGCGUCUCCAUCUUUCCUUUAACUUGAAAAUACCCUCUUCCCAGAAUUGAGGUGGUUCCAUGGCAAAUAAUUCAUCAAGGUAUCUUUUUACGUCAUCCAAGGAAUUGAAAUUUUUACCAUUAAUACUAUUCUCCAGAGAACUAAAUAAAUGUAAUUCCGAAGGAGCAAUAUCUGGUGAAUAUGGAGGAUGAGGUAACACAUCCCAGCCAAGCUGCAGAAAUUUUUGUCUGGUUCCCAAAAAAAGGUGCCGUCUUGCAUUAUCAUGUUGGGAAACAUCCUGUUGGCCAAUUCUGGACGUUUCUCUUGAAUUGCUGCUUUUAACUCGUCCAGUUGUGUUCAGUAUUUCUCAGAAUUAAUUGUCUGGUUACUUGGGAGAAGCUCAUAGUACAAAAUUCCUUUCCAAUCCCAUCAGGUACAAAGCAAGACUUUUUAAAGAUAAAGAACCCCUUUUGGGGUGGCUAAGUGUGGUUCAUGUCGCUUACUCCAGGUUCGCUUUCUCUGUACAUUUCGGUAGAUAAUCCAUUUCUCAUUACCAGUAUAAUUUGCUUUAAAAAAGGCGCGUUUUCAUUCCGUUUAUAAAGCGAAUCACAGAUGCAAAUGCUAUCCGAAAGGUUCUUCUCACUCAACUCAUGUGGUACCCAAACAUCGUAGCGAUUUGUGUACCCAAGUUUUACCAGGUGCUCGUGAAAGACGGAUUUUGAUAGGCUGAGGCUUUCCACGAAUUCUAGGGUGUGCAAUGUGGGUUGUUUUCAAUUAAUGACUUGAUUUGGUUAUCAUCUGUAGUAGAUGGUCUGGCUGAUCGCUGUAUAUGAAUAGGGCUACAAUUUCCAGCUCGGAACCUUGCGAACAACUUCCGUAUAGUUCUUUCGGGUAAAGAAGCAUCGCCGUAAACUGCGCAUAUUUCUUUGGUUGCUUGUGAAGUAUUUUUCCCUUUACAGAAAAAGAGAAGCAUCAAGUGCCGAAAAUGAACUUUUUUCUCUUUCAUUUUAAAGGGUUACAGAAUAAACACAGGUUAUAGGAACAUAAACCUUCUUCCACGAAAAGAUAGCUUAAACUGUACUCUAAAUGAAGGUGUAGUUAAAUCCUAUUUUAUGGACUCAACCAUGUUUUAAAAUAAGUCGAAAGGUAAGCUACUAUAAAUCAGCACGAACUUUCCGGACAACACAAUACAAGAGGUUCAGCUCAAAAUGUCAUCGUUAAUGAGAAUAUUGUUGUCAUCGCUGAUUAUGAAAAUGAAAAUCAUGAUGAUGAUAACGACGACGACGACGAAGAUGAUGAUGAUGAUGACGACGACGAUGGCGACGAUGAUGACGGUGAGGAGUAGGAGUAGAAAAAUGAAAGCGAUAGGAUGAGAUGAAAGGGAUAAAAUCAAGUCAUUUUUUAAAUCUUAAUCGGUUUGUGAUUGUCUUGAAGAACUAAAUAUAAAACAUCAUUUGGUGGAGAAAGAGAGAGAGAGAGAGAGGUGACCUGAGCAGCUAGAAAAUGAAUACAUUAGGUUUUCUACCGGGUUUAUAACAUAUUUCACCAUUGGCUAGUAAAUUAUGAAUUGAAAGAAAGCCGCUAGUAUUUUGUUAUUUUUUUAUGAUUAAGUUUUUAUUCUACCCGCUUUGGUUACGCGAAAAUAAAACUUAGUAUAGCCGCUGAGAAUGUGCCUGACGAUAGACAAUUCAUUUAUGCAAGCUAACACUAUUUCUUCAACUCUCUCAGCAUUUCAGAUAUUGUAAAAUAACGGACUUAUGUAUACCCAUAUAUGCGAAAUAAUGACAUAUUUAUUUUAGAGACAUUAUAGUAAAUAGUUCUAUUAAUUGAGAUAAACGGCCGCGAAUAUGAGCUGUGUAUCCCUCGCACUUAUGUACUUGCCUCUAUAUCUUGUUACUAUCUUCGCAUUAUUAGAUAUUUAGAAAUGCUUUCUGUUCAUCCGAAUGCUAAACACUCAUAUUCUCUAUUAAACUAAGCUAUAUAUUACUCAUAAGUGUAAACUGUCGUUUGAUGGCUUCUGCUGAAAAUAUUUAAUUAAAGCAAGUACAAAAUUCAUAUAUUAAAUUCAUGACCGAUUUUCUAUCGAAUACAAGUAAUGAAUUAUGAGUUGAGAUAAAUUGCUAGCGUUUAUUUUCACCCGUCUUUCUGUUAUCCUAAUUUUCUCCCACAUCUUCUCGCGCUACCACCGUUCCUCUCCUCUUGUUUAAUUUAGGUCUUGAGUCAUAGUCUCUGUAUUUUACAUUGAUCUAUCUGUCCUUCGUUUUUGUUAAUGCACUCUAUUUAUUUAACGUGUUCGGUUGCCAUGAAGGUUAAAAGGCAGCGAGCUGGUAGAAACGGUAGCACGCCGGGCGAAAUGCUUUGCGGUAUUUCGUCUGCCGUUACGUUCUGAGUUCAAAUUCCGCCGUGGUCGACUUUGGCUGUCAUCCUUUCGGGGUCGAUAAAUUAAGUACCAGUUACGCACUGGGGUCGAUGUAAUCGACUUAAUCCGUUUGUCUGUCCUUGUUUGUCCCCUCUGUGUUUAGCCCCUUGUGGGUAGUAAAGAAAUAAUUAUUUCAUCUGCUACUACUGAGUUCAAAUUCCGCCGAGGUCGACUUAGCCUUUCAUUAUUUCAGUUCGAUUGAAUAAGUACCAGUUACGCACCGGGGUUGAUGUAAUCGACUUAAUCCCUUUGUCUGUCCUUGUCAGUCCUCUCUAUGUUUAGCCCCCUGUGGGCAAUAAAGAAAUAAGAAGUUAAUAUAUCUAAUGUGAUAUCAUAACACGCCCAAUGUGUUUAUAUCAAAAUUCAUGUUUAAGGGAGAUAAUACUCAAACGCUAUUUUCAGUUUAAAAAAAAAGCACUAACAGAAUAAGAAAAACAAUGAGGACAUUGUUUUCAAUCUUUUUCCCCAGACCUUAAAUAUUUUUCAAAAAUGAUUUUGAUGUACAAAAUGAACGAUAUCAAAUCUCAAACUCCAGGAUUCUAAACUUAUAAUCCAAUUUAAGAAGCAUGCUCUUGUAUUAUCAUCAGAUGUAAUCAUGCAGGUACUCUAGCUUAAGAGAAAAUUAUUCCCGCUGCAACAAAAUGGUGCACAUAUAUUUGUUUGCUACCUUUACUUUCUAACUUAGGUUGUAUCGAACUGAUUCAUCUAUACUUCCCAAUAGCGCACUAAACAUUCAUUUUCUAAUGAAGAAAUACAUUUAGAUAUUGGAGACAAUGAAUAUUAGAUGAAACGAGUGGGAAAAAAUGAAUCACGUGAUAACAUCUUGACAUUUUACUUAUGAACAUGUAAAGGAAUAACAUACAUACACACUCAUAUACACAUACACGCAUACAGGGAUAACAAGCAGCUGGCACAUAGUUAUAUAAAGUGCUUUUUCAUUCGUGCUUUAUCUAUCUAUCUAUCUAUCUAUCUAUCUAUCUAUCUAUCUAUCUAUCUAUCUAUCUAUCUAUCUAUCUAUCUAUCUAUCUAUCUACCUAUCUAUCUAUCUAUCUAUCUCUGUAUGGAUGUAUGCAAGUAUGUAUAUCCAUCUGCACACUCACACACACACACACACACACAUACUUAGAGUGAUUGAGAGAGAAUGGGAGAGAGAAAGAAAAGAGAGAGAGAGAGAGAGAAAGAAAGAGAGAGAGAGAGAGAGAGAAAAGGGAUGAUAUGUAUUCUUGUACAUUUGGUAAACCUCAUUAGAAGUCAUCUAACUGAACGCAAAUCUUUAGCAUGAAGACUGGGGCUUCCAUUUGAUGUAGAGCCUUGAUGUAAACCAUGCAGAAAGUGUCUUGUGUAACAGUAGAAGAUCUAUACAAUUGAAGAUGGCAUUUCGAAGUAUGGAAAUUCUGUACAAUAGCAGGGAUUAGGAAGAAGGUCAAAUAUUCCUUGGAACCUAUCUGCAUAACUUCAGAAUGUUAUUCUUGAUUGGUCAAGUUAAAACGUUCUAACGAAAUACUACUUAUAUAUAAUCCAACACCAAAAUUUAAUUAGAGUAUACGGCCACAAGUACAGGAAAUUAUGGUGAUGGAAAUAUACGCAUGCACAUGCAUGUGUACCGAUCACAAGAAAAACAGUAUCUUUCAUUGACGAUUUACUUAUCUUCCUAUUUCUGUACGCACGCACACAUCCCUCACCCCCUCUCUCACACACACAAACACAGACACACAAGCAUAAACUCACAUAUAUAAAUAUGGAUUUGUACAGAUAGAUAGAUAGGUAUGCAUAAGAUACAAGUAUUUGUACAUGUGUGUAUAUGUAUAUAAGCGCGUAUAUCUAUAUCGCUCCAUAUAUGUAAGUAGGUAUGUAUGUGUACAUAUACAUACUUACACACAUAUAUAUAUAAUAUGCACAUGCAUAUAUACAAAAAUAUAUAUAAUACACACAUAAAAAAUUAGUCAAGAAGACUAUAUAUUAGUCAUACGAUAUAGUGUAUAUUUAUACACUUUAACGUGAAGUCAACACAUUAGAAAGAACAGCUAGGUUCUGUAAACCACAAAAAUAACGGAUAAAAUUCGACAGGAAUAAAUUUGGAAAUGAAAAACAUUUACCAUCUAGUAUUCUGAACCAAUUGGUUUCUGAUCAUGUUUUAGCGAGCCAGGGGGAACUCACAAGGUCUGAUUUUCUUCAGCAAAGUCCAACCUAGGGUUAAACAUAUCCAACAGGAGACAAACAAAACUACUUGUCUCGUGUUCAUACGAACUAACUUUUCAAAUUUUACUGCGCAGACGCAGUCCAUUCGCUGGCUACAAUGAAAAACCGCCAACUUUUAACCGAAAAUUAUCCAAAAACUUAUAGCAUUUAAUCAUAUCGAAGGGAAAUGGAAUUUAAUUAAAAUUAAAAUACUCAAUCAAAAUUUACAUUUCCAGUGGUCUAACGCGCAAAAAAAAUUAGUCAAGAAGACUAUAUAUUAGUCAUACGAUAUAGUGUAUAUUUAUACACAUAAGGAAUCCACUUUAUCGUGAAGUCAACACAUUAGAAAGAACAGCUAGGUUCUGUAAACCACAAAAAUAACGGAUAAAAUUCGACAGGAAUAAAUUUUGAAAUGAAAAAUAUUUACCAUAUACAUAUAUAUAUAUACAUACGUACACACACACACACACACACACACACACACACAUAUAUAUAUAUAUACAUACAUACAUGCAUACAUACAUACAUGCAUACAUACAUACAUACAUACAUACAUACAUACAUACAUACAUAUAUAUAUAUAUAUAUAUAUAUAUAUAUAUAUAUAUCACCUUGAUCACCUUGACCGACCAGUCAAUCGGGAGUCCAUUUGACACCACUGGUCACAGCACGCUGUCCACUCCUCUCUGGAUCGCACCUUUCUCAUCCACGUGAUCCUAAUCGUCCUCCUGAAAUCGUAACUCCACCGUCGUGGAGGCCAUCCGGGUGGUCGUUUCCACUCGCGCGGGUACCACUCGACAACUGCACGGGUCCAUCGAUUAUCGGUGAGCCGGACAACGUGUCCAGCCCAUCUAAACUUGCUGCGUGUAUACUCUGCUAUGACAUCCCUCACACCGGACUUCUUUCUGAUAUAUAUAUCAGGAGUAUAUAUGAUUUCCUGAUAUGUAUAUAUAUAUACACGAUUGAAAUGAAAAACGAAAAAAGGAACAUUCAUCAUAUAUAGAAAGAGAUACAUGUAUUAUUUAAACGAGUUUGAAUCCGUUCUAUACGACUUAAAAUUUUGCAGGCCUUUAACAGUUGCCCGUCACUUUUAGGAAAGAGAUGAGUUCCUGUUAGGGACCUGCGAAAAUUUUAAGUCGGAAGGAACUGUUUUAAACAACAUACAUGCGCGUGUGUGCGCAUGAGAGCGCAUGACCAAGUGGUUAGGGGUUUGCACUAGCGAUCACUAGAUUGAGGAUUCAGUUUCUGCUCGGGGGCGGGGUGUCGUGCUCCUGAGCGAAACACUUCAUCUCGUAUUGAUCUGUGAUCCCUUCCUCAGCAAACCUGUGGUACACUGUGCCUUUAGAUCUAAUGUACUACACAAACAUCCAAUAACAACAAACAAAUCAGUUGUGAAGGUUUGUUCAGAAAAAAAUUGUAGAACCAUCUUUCUCGGACAACGAGAGACUACCAUCAAAUCAAAAUUAAAUAUAUUCAUAUAUAACCCAAUCCUUUUCCUAAGUGGACCUCGAAUUACAUGUAAGGCUAUAAAUAAUAGCGUAUAGUGUUGUUAGUUACUGGUUUUGUAUCUUGAAGUGUUUCAAAUACGUGAGAAUGAAUAUUCUUUUAUUGUCGCAGAAAGACCGUAUAACGAAUAAUGGAAACGCAGCUGAAUAUAUAGUAAAAUUCAAGUCUAGCUCACACUACUGAAUAUAUUCUGAUUGUAUUUUACAUCGCUGUGAAAGAAGUAAUGAAGGACCUGAAUAUAACGAUGUGUGGCUUCAACGGCAUGUAUCUGUUAGAACCGCUCGUGUGUCUGGCCCCGUCGCCUUAUUGUUUGGCUUAAUGUAAAGCAGAGCUCUCGUAUUAAUAUGCACUGUAUCUGAAAUACCUAAAAAUAUUUUUCUUUUCUUUUUGUUUUUUAGAGUGUUUCUGAAAAUUUAUAUAUCAUAUAUUUCCUGUUUAUUUGAACAUAGAUAACGUAAGUAUAUAAUGGUAUUUAAUACGAAUAUAUAUAUGACGAACUUCUACGCAGUUUCCCCUCAACGAAAUUUAUUGAUAUUAUUCCGCCUUCGGUUUAAAGUAGAGCUCAAUGGCUCACGUACUGGAACUGGACCCAAAACCUUAUGGUUGCGAAUCUUUCUACUUAUCCACACAGCCAUGCCAGCGCCUACCUAAUCUGCAUGAACAUGCGUGCAUACAUACAUACAUACAUACAUACAUACAUACAUACAUACAUACAUACAUAUAUAUAUAUAUAUAUAUAUAUAUAUAUAUAUAUAUAUAUAUAAAUGCACAUAUACAUAUUUAUACAUCGGUGCAUGUGUGUAUUUGGAAAUGUGUAUGCGUAUGUUUCUGUGUAUAUAUAAUGCUACUAUAUUAACAAUAAAGUGGCGUGUAAAAUUCAACCUAAUGGUAUUUUCUUUUAAGCAUAUGUCAACAAUUACCGUUCAGCCAAGUUGUCCGACACAAUAAUCUUGAUGGGUUGAAUUUGGGAAAACCAUACAAGCACAGGCAUUUCUACAACUUCGCUGAUAACACCAUUCUAUGCUUAAUAUACUGAAUUUUGGUCUAUUGUACUUGUUUCUGCAUCGCUCUCCAUUGUUUAUAAUCAUCGCAGUCAUCAUCAUCGUCGUUGUCGUCGUCAUCAUCAUCGCAACCACCGUCAUAAUAAUUGUCCUCGUCACUACUGCGACUACUAUCAGUCCCAUUAGCUCCAUGAUUACCGUUCUCAACAUCACCAAACCAAAACCACCACCACCACCACUACCACCCAUCCCUCCUCCUCCUCUCCCUCCUUCCUCUUCUUCUUCCUCUUCCUCGUCUUCCUCUUCUUCUGCAAUUGCUACAGUUGUUACUCCUGUCGUCUUGCUUCUUAUGAAAGUUACAAGUGUCUUAAGUCGUAAAUUUCCUCUUCUACCAUCUCUCAUUCACGCAUGUGCCAACAUUCAGCAACAUUCCUGCAUGAGCCAAUAUCCCUACACGCAGAACGUGUUGUUUCCUUGAGUGAAAUGUGUUUUUCCACUGAGUGACACCUUAACUGUGUCAGGUCGGACGUAAACUAUGGUUUGGCGUUUAACAAUUGCAAAGUGCAGCAUAUUAAAAUAGCUGGGAUGAGAACGUUAGUUUUUCCUUCUUACCAAGUUUUCAAUGUUGAACCAUAAAGCUAGCAGAAUUGUUUGCACGCCGGGCGAAAUGCUUAGCAGUAUUUUGACUGCCUCUACGGUCUGAGUUCAAAUUCCGCCGGGGUCGACUUUGCCUUUCAUCCUUUCGGGGUCGAUUAAAUAAGUACCAGUUAUGCACUGGGGUCGAUAUAACCUACUUAACCCGUUUGUCUGUCCUUGUUUGUCCUCUCUGUGUUUAGCCCCUUGUGUGUAGUAAAGAAAUAGGUAUUUCGUCAAUCUAUUCCGGCGAGUUCGAAUUUGCCUUUCAUCCUUUUGGUGUCGAUAAAUUAACUACCAGUUGCGCACUAGGAUCGAUCUAAUAGACUGGCCUCACCCCCAAAAUUUCGGGUCUUGUGCCAAGAGUAUAAUAAAAAAAAUAAUAAAUAUAUAACAUAAAAUUCAGUGCAUAAAAUCCUCUAUGUACGGCUAACCUUGAAUAUAUUAUGGAAAUUGCUGGUAGUUUUCUGUUUCAAUUAUAGCAAGUAUUUCAUCAGCGAACAUGAAAUCAUGUCUGUUAGAUCUAAUUUAUAAUCCCUGUCGGUGAAGACGCGUGGCUUUGUGUUUUGGGUAUUCGUUUUACGAUCGUAAGGAUGUGAAUUCAAUUUCCGGCUACGCGUUGUGUCCUUGAGCAAGAUAUUUUAUUUCACGUUGCUCCUGUCCAUUCAGCUGGCAACAUUGAGUAGUGUAGUACCUAUAUUUCGAACAGUCAACCUUGUCACACUCUGUUUUCACGCUAAAUCUAACUGAGAAUUAUGUUAAGGCUACGCAUGUCUGGAGUACUCAACCACUUGGACGUUUCAGGCUGCUCCGUUGAUCAGAUCAACUGGAACCCUCGUCGUCGUAACUGAUGGAGUAAUGGCGAUUAGAUACACAAAUAUGUAACUAUGUUUCACACAAGUCAAAGUUAUUGUAACUCCUUGAGGGAUAAAUAACUUUAUUUUUUAUGCUUCAUUUCUGAAUCUACCUUUAUCUCGCUUAAAUGGAAGGCUGUAUCAGUGUGUAGAAAUGCAUAUGACUACGAUCAGAAUAUAGCACCAACAAGUAUUGAAUUCUGUAACUGUUAGCUGAUCCGCCAGAGUUCUUUCCUCCACAGUAGGGUGAGGAGAGGUGAUAUGAGGUGCCGUUUGAAUUCACAAUGCUAAGGGUUGUAACACAUACCACAUGGCAUAUUCUGCGAUAUUUGAAUUGUACCCCGCAAACCUCUACUUAGACUGCUACAUUGUGUAUUCGACCUCCGUAAGGAUGAAUGGCAAAGCUGAUCACAGCAGGUUUGAACACAGGCUGCAGACAACAGUAAUGGUGCAUUGGAUUAUCUCCAAUAUACUUAGACUGGUACAUUGCGUUGUCGACUUCCGUAAGGAUGAAUGGAAAAGCUGACCAAGGCAAGUUUGAGUACAGGUCGCAAACUAUCAUAAUGGUGCAUUGUAAACUCACCGGUGGUCUAACAACUAAAUCGCUGUCUUGAACAGUUCCCUUGUUUAUAUUUCAAUUUUUAUUUAUUUUUUCAGAUCUGGAAUGGUGGGUACUGUGCUAGUCUAAAUAACUAUUCAUAUCAAAUUUAUAUAGCCAAAUGUGAAUUUAGCGAAAGCUAAAUUGUCUUAAGUCAUUCACAUAAUAAGUUAAUUAACCAUCCGCUAAAGGACAAUUUUCCAUGGACUAUAUAGCACAUUUUUUCAGCUGAUAAUAAUUUGAAUAUAUUUUGAGUGAGUAUGGUAAUUUUUAUAUGAAACGAGAGGAAUUAAUUGUGAAUUCAGUGUCAAUGAGAUAAGGUACUUUUCCAUAAGCACAUGAAUUCUCUGCAGUGUUAUUAGGUGGAGAAUUUUUAAAAGGUAGCAUAUGGACUGUAAUGCACAACAAAGUAUUUUCAAUGAAGAAUUAACACAAUCUUAGGAAAAUUGUGUUAACAAAUUAACAACUACACCAUAUAUUUAAUAUUUAUUUGUAGCCAACCUGUGAAUCAGUAGAUGAUGCAUUCUGCAAGCUAGAAAUAACAUCUAGUGUCAUAAAAUAGUAAGAUCUCUUGUAUAAUGUAGUCAUGGAUAUAGUUCAUUAACAGAAAGAUAGAAUGACGAGGCAUUUGAUUAGUGGUUGUCAAUGUUAUUGACUGCGGAAACAAACUCUUUCUGAUGGAGAAACAACUGCAUGCAAUAAUAAUAAUAAUAAUAACAACAACAACAACAACAGCAACAAUAAUAAUAAUAAUAAUAAUAAUAAUAAUAAUAAUAAUAAUAAUAAUAAUAAUAAUAAUAGUAAUAAUGAUAAUAAUAAUAAUAAUAAUAAUAAUAAUAAUAAUAGUAAUAAUAAUAAUAAUAAUAAUAAUAAUAAUAAUAAUAAUAAUAAUAAUAAUCAUGAUAAUAAUAAUAAUAAUAAUAAUAAUAAUAAUAAUAAUAAUAAUAAUAAUAAUAACGCUUUUACAUUUUAAAAAAUAAUAAAAAGGAAAAUAUAGAAGAUCAAUACUUGCCUUCUUUACUAAUGAUAAAAUAUGAGUUAAGAGAAAUAACAGGUAGUUCAUAUAUGUGUAUUUGUCUAUUUAUUCAAAUACAUGCCACCGGCCAUUCUGGGUUGUUGUUUCAGAAGCACAUGUCCAUGAGUCUCCUCGUAUCUUCAUAAAAAUACGCAUGUCCUUUCCCUGAGCGUUUGCAUAGUAGCUAGCAGGUCAUUGCCUCAAUUUGAACAGGAUUCGGUUUUUAUAUUUUAAAAGAUUUUCAAGAAGAAAGUGAAGUUUGCAAAUUGAUUCAAGAAGUAAUAAAAAAUAUUAAUCAAUGAUUUACAACAACUACAUAACAUCAUUGACUGACGCCAGCAAAAAUACAACCGAAUAAAAAGUUGUUCUCUGUAUAUAAAUUGUGUUUUGGUUUAUCUAACUCAGCGUGAUAGAGGACAAUCAUUCAGUAACAGUCAGUUUAGGAAACGUUAGUAACAGGUAAAAGAAUAUGGAACACAGUUAUAUCUUAUAUUAGAUACUCUUCCCUUUCAUCUGAUGUAGGCAGUGAAACAGCUAACUAUAAUGAGUCUGCAACAUAAAGUGACUUAUCUCCUCCGAGCAAACGUUGUUGAUACUCGUAUUCAUUUAAUCACAAAUUCGCUUUUCUUCACCAUCUUUCUGAACUCUAUCCAGUCGCACAAGGUGUCCAACAAAUAUCACUGAUAUGAGUCGAACAGCCCGACAUUACUCGGCUGUUUUCUUUUCUUGGGACCAUUACGCUCAAUCUUAAUUUUCGAAAAAGUCUAAUCUUUUCAUUUAUUGAACAUCCGCUUCUUGUAACCAAUGCAACAAUAAUAACAAUGGCGUGUUGGAUGAAUCCUGAUGCCCUCCGACAUCACCUUCGUUAUUAAAACACUUACCAAAAGCUGCAGCACUACACCAUCUUAUACCUUUAUACAUCUCAAUACAUGACCUUGAAUCGGAGGAGAAAGAACAGAUCUAUUAAGUUGGUUAUCAUUGUUAUAGUAUAUACUUUUUUCAAAACAUCUUAUUUCCUUUGUUUCCGAUAUAUUUAUUACUCUAUUCCCUGAAAAAAAAAACGAAUUACCAGAAGCUAUUUUAAUAUUCUUUGAUUAAUAUGGGCCCCGUUUUCCCGUUUUCUUCCAUUUUUCAGCCUUUAUCUCAAUACAUUCCCUCCCUCAUUUCCCGCCUUGCUUCCUCCUCCCUUUCCAAUCAACCACUGUGUGUAUGUAUAUAUAUAUAUAUAUAUAUAUAUAUAUAUAUAUAUAUAUAUAUAUAUAUAUAUAUAUAUAUAUAUAUAUAUAUAUAUAUAUAUAUAUAUAUAUAUAUAUAUAUAUAUAUAUAUAUAUAUAUAUAUAUAUAUAUAUACAUUUACACACACAUGUAUGAAUGUAAACAUCUAUCUAUCUGUCUAUCUAUCGAUCGAUCGAUCAGUCUAAGUAACUCUGCGCGUGUGUGUAUGUAUAUAUAUAUAUGUAUAUAUGUGUGUGUGUGUAUGUGCGCAUAUAUAUAUGUAUGUAUGUAAUUAUAUAUAUGCACACACACACACACACACACACGUACAUAGGCUUUUCACCUGAUCAGUCAAUAUUUCCUCUGUCAGUUUACAACGAUUAAAUCCAAAGUGUGUGUAGAUGACAGCUACAUAGCUAUCCUUCUCGUUUAUUAUCUACAAUGCAAACAGCUGUUGUUACUAGCGCUGGCGAAAAACCAUCGACGUUUAAUGAUUACACAGCGUUAUUAAUUCGUUGGCUAACAUUCGUGCAGUCACAAGCUUUAUUAAAGCCAGCAGGUGAUAGCAAUGGCAAAACUUCAACAACCUUCAGGUUUCUAAAUACGUGUUCAUGUGUCGAUGUGCACUUUAAUUAUAAACGAUCACAGUGCAAUACUUCUUUCUGCUGGUCAGCACGUAUUGUAAAACCACCGAAUGGCACGAAGUGUUAGCCACAAAGGUUCACCCACAUGGAAAUCAUUCUGAUAUAUGUUUAAACAUACAUACAACCAUACAUAUAUACAUCCACACUUAGGCACAUACAAAUACACUUUCAUAUAUAAAUGCGUGUGUAUGUGUUAUAUAUAUAUAUAUAUAUAUAUAUAAACAUAUAGAUUUACAUAUAUAUACGUUAUCUAUCUAUCUAUCUAUCUAUCUAUCUAUCUAUCUCUCUAUAUAUAUAUUUAUAUACAUACAUACAUACAUAUACAUGCAUACACACACACAUCAUCUACAUACACAUAUAGAUAUAAUAGGUAUAGUAGAUAUAGUAGAAGCGCAUGUAAACAUAUGCUCUCUCGCGUUGCAGCGUUACACAUAUAUAUCUUACGUACAUAAAAGCGAGAUCCUGUCUGCAUCAAUAUUAAUCGGACUAUACACUCUGAAAUUCUUACGGAUAAAAUAUACUAUGUUCUUUCACACAGACAUAAACUAAAUAUAAUAGUGCUUGUUAAUAUGUAAUCUUACACACAUGCCCAUAUCCACAUACAUAUACACACCCAUAAUUAAAAUUAUGUAAUCUAGAAGAUGACAUUAAGUUUAGAAGUUGACCUUUUUACUAUUUUACUUUUCUCAAGAGAAGAAUUAUUUUUCACAUAUAUUUCUUAUUAUUUUGUAUAUGCGUAAAAGUUUGGCUCUGUGGUAACAGUGUUCACUUCAGUGUCUUGGCGCCACAGGCUUUUCAUCUCAAAGCACUGAGUCUUGGUUUACUUUGUAAAAGCAUGAGUUCGACGCAUACAAAAGAAAUAUUUGGCAGACGAAACUGUAUCUAAGUGUGGCACACACACACACACACACACACACACACACACACACAAACUCACGUACACACACAUGCACUAACACGCAAAUGCAUGCGUAUAUAUACGUAUAUAUGUAAGUAGAUGAGUAUUUGAAUAUAUAAAUAUAUAUAUAUAUUCUUUAUUCUCUUACUUGUUUCAGUCAUUUGACUGCGGUCAUCCUGGAGCACCGCCUUUAGUCGAGCAAAUCGACCCCAGGACUCAUUCUUAUUCUAUCGGUCAGUUUUUGUCGAACUGCUAAUUUACAUGGACGGCAUAAUGUAACCGAUUGUUACUGUGGAAAUCAUGUAGGCAGUUAUUAAGAAGCUUUUGUCCGUCUUGAGGCUGAUAUAGGUUCCUUGUAUUUCCUGAUGAAAAGACGGCAUAAUGCAACCUUCAUUCCUUCAGAAUUAAGAGUAUGCAGUCUUCGAAACAUAUGUUGAAAGUAAAGGAAUUUUGUUAAAAUCUUCGUUCGACUCCAUUCUUUUCAUUUAUUCAUAUAAAAAAAAACACACAAAUUUCCACACACAAACACGGAGUUCUGACCUUGGCAUGUAGCUUCAACCGUGUUUUACUGACGUGAAUUUGCUACUCAGGUAUCGAUUAACCGAAUUAUCCAUACUAGGAUAAUUCAUUUACCUACUUAUUUAUAUAUAUAUAUAUAUAUAUAUAUAUAAAUAAUACAUACUGAUAUAUGUAUAUAUUCAUAUAUAUAUAUAUAUAUAUACACAUAUAUAUAUGUCUCUCUCUCUCUCUCUCUCUCUAUAUAUAUAUAUAUAUAUAUUCAGAACAAUUCCAGUCAGUACCAUUACAACCACAUGUCACUUUUAGGUCACUUGGCCAUUUAAGAGGAUUCCACCAACAUCUUACCUGUGUCAUAUCACUUCCAUAUUUUUCCAUAUUCCUUCUCUUCCUAUCAUCUCUUCUUCUUCUUCUUCUUCUUCUUCUUCUUCUUAUUCUCCUUCUUAUCUUCUUUUUCUUCUUCUUCUUCUUCUUCUUCUUCUUCUUUUUCGUCGUCUUUGCUUCCUUCCUCGGAUACUCUUGCUUAAACAAUCAAAAUCAAGAACUCAUAUAAAAUAUUGUUUUAGGAUUACUACUACCUACUACCUACUACCUACUUCUAAGCCUUCAGAAGAGUAAAAAGUGAGAUAGAGACAGAAAAAAGUAAAAUGUCCCUUAUAUUUGAAAACUAUGGAAAUAUUUAUAAAAAAGGCAUUUCAUUUAAUUUUCCCACAAUUUAAUUGUUUUCCAUGCUUUACUCUAAGUUGAAAAAAGUUGCAAAGACUGAAACCGCUGCUAAAAUGUUCUUCAUAAUAAAAUUAUUUUGGUAUGUUCUACAUUGUGUUAUUGUGCAUAUAAACUCAUGUGUUCGUUUUCAACAUUCUACACACACAUAUAUAUAUAUAUAUAUAUAUACUGUUGUGUCUGGAGAGAGUCGUUUUCUUUUUGUGCCUUAUAAUGUAACACACUCACCGGUAAAAUUUCCACUUUUUUCUUUUUUUUAUUUUCCUAAAGUUUUCAUUGCGUCUUGCAACCUUUUCAAUAGUUUUGACAUUAUAAGGCACAAAAAGAAAAUGACUCUCCCCAGACACAACAAAUAUGCUUCAACACACGAACUCAUAUAAAGAAUCUUGCAAACCAAAUCCAAAACACAUAUAUAUAUAUAUAUAUAUCCAAAACACACACGCACACACACACACACAUAUAUAUAUAUAUAUAUAUAUGUAGAAUGUUGUGAGGGCGAGCUUAAAAUGUGUGUGUGUGUGUGUGUGUGUGUGUGUGCGCGCGCGCGUAUGUAUAAAUAAUCUAGUGAGUACAUUUUGUGGAGUGAUGUGUGUUUCAUGUACAGAAGAUUCUGUCUGUGCGCGGAUGGACGUUUUCACAUAUGUGUGUGAGAGCAUAAAGACGUGUGAGUGUGAUCCUAUUGUGUGUAUUGUGUAUGUUUAUGUGCGAAUGUUGUAUGUAUUUAUGCUUGGUAUGUACAUUGUACUCAUAUAGCUAUGUCUAUAUUAUUGGUCAUGCGCAGAAAUUUCUGAAGAUAACUUCUGAACCGAUAUUUUCAUCCGCAGCACUUAUCGAGCAUACACGAAAGUCUCCACCCUUCAUUCUUUUUUGCUACUUUCCCUCGACUAGAAUUAAUAAAAAAUAUAAGUACUCAUACUUUGUAUUCUAUGUAUCCCGUUUGUUGUAAGUAGCCGGUCAUGCAUGCAUACAUACAUAUAUGAAGAGAGAGAAUCAGAAUGAGAAAUAGAUAGAUAGAUAGAUAGAUAGAUAGAUAGAGAGAGAGAGUGAAAGUGGGAAAAAGAAAGAGAGAGAGAGAGUAAGCGUGAAUGUGAGAUGGGUAUCUCACAAAGGCAGCUUAGAUGAAACUGUGAAGUUACUCUCAACUUUUCUCUCUAAACUCAAUAUAUCGGCUGUGUGUUUGAGUUUCCGUUUCUUGAAUUUUUUAAUGUCACCUAGUUUUGUGCAACGUGACGAUGUGAUAACAAGUAAUAUAUGACGAGAGUGCCAUCCUAAGUGUUGGGUUUCGAUAUAUAUGACUAACCCCUUGAAUGUGGUCCCCAGAUUGGAUGCAGUGCAAUGACUGAAAUUUAUGCAAGAAUAACAUAAUAAUUAAGAACUGCAUGAUAUUACAGAUGCGUGUAUUUAUACAUUCAUGCAUGUGGGUAUGUAUGUAUGUGUGUGUGUAUGUGUGUGUGUUUGUGUGUGUACUUUCUUUGUGUAUACGCCUGUGUUCAUAUAAUCUUAUGGGAGUGCAUUUUGGUUAUUUAUGUGAUCCUGGAUUCCAUUCCCACUUCAAAAUAAUUCCACAAAUAUUAGUCAUCUAAUUAUAUUUCCCCAUGUAUUGUGUUCCUUUUGAAAACAGUUUUAUAUGACUCGCAUCAGAUUAAGCAAUUAUUUCUAAUAAGCCGAUUGACUGCCUGGAUGAUCUUUCAUUCAUAUUUCUGUCACUAAAUUUCAUGCAAGUUUUGUUACAUGCAUCAUGGUGAUUUGCCGAGCGACAUGGAAGCUAAAAGCAACUUAAACUCAAACAAUAUUGUGUAUAUAAUUUUGAUAACGGAAAUGACAAUUGGUUUUAUAUCCUGGACUAACGUUAAAUCUAUUCUUGGUUAGUUGUGCCAUCGACUGAAUCAUCUGUUUUGUAUUAGAUGUGUUUAAACUAAAUCUUUUGAUGGGAUUGGAACAAAUCUCAGAAACUAGAUAUUGUAAUACCUUAACUUGGUAUUCCGAUCUCAGUUCUAUCAAAUAAACCCUAUUUACGUUUAAAUUAACGUUGUCAAGAAAUGUUAACCAAGUAGAAAUGAUAAUUACAAUGUUUAAGUGUUUGUAAAGGACGUCUUAUUAUUGUUCAUUCUCUUAUUUCACACCACAUUACUGAAUAAAUGCUUCCUUCCACCCCAAGCCACUACACCAGCCAGUUCACAACUGUUGCACAAACAAGAAAUUAGCCUUGCUCAUUACAUAUUUAAGACUUAUAAAGUCAUCACAAAUCUCAGAGCGCUUUGAAAUCGCUAUAAAACGAAAGCCUUAAUAAUCUUCCUAUUGAAGGCUAGAAAAUACUAUAGCCAUCGUAAAUCAUUGACCGUCAGAACUACAUUGUAAUAUUCUUUCUACUGGAAGCACAAGGCCUCAAAUUUGGGUGAAGGGAUUAAAUUAUCGACCACAAAAGGAUGAAAGGAAAAGUCGACCUCGGUGGAAUUUGAACUCAGAACGUACAGACGGGCAUCGAUUCUGCCAGCUCGCCGACUUCUACAUUGUAAUAUUCUUUUCUUUUCUACUCUAAGCACAGGACCCGAAAAUUUUGGGGAGGAGGCCAGUCGAUUAGAUCGGACCAGUACUCAACUGCUAGUUAACUUAUCGACCCCAAAAGGAUGAAAGGCAAUGUCGACCUAGGCGGAAAUUUAACUCAAAAUGUAAAGAUAGACGAAAUACCUAUUUCCUUACUACCCACAAGAGGCUAAACACAGCGAGGACAAACGGAUUAAGUCGAUUACAUCGACCCCAGAAUUUGAACUAAGGACGUAACGGCAGACGAAAUAAGGCUACGCAUUUCGCCCGGCGUGAUGACAUUUCUGCCAGCUCACCGCCUUCCUACAUAGUAAUAUUGCUAACAUAUACAACGGUGUUGUUUGAACUCACGCGCGCGCACAUGCACACACACACACACGAUCCUAAAAGAAUAGUUUGGCUGAUUGUAAAAGUUCAAUCGUAAUCCCUCUGUAUCUUCUGUAUCUACAACCUUGGUCUUCUAUUUCUACUACAAAAGUUUCUGCUCUCUUUCUACCACCUCCAUCGUUACGUUUCACCUUACAGCUUUGUCACAAUAGUAAAGAUUCCGCUCCAAUUUUUUUCGCGGUGCCGUACUACGCUUGGGUUGCACGGACGCACACACACACACACACACACACACACACACACACACACACACACACACACACACACACACACACACAUAUAUAUAUAUUAUUUAUAUUAUUAUAUGAUCGAACGUAACGCAUCCAUUUCCAAGCAAGUUAUAUAUAUAUAUAUAUAUAUAUAUAUAUGUGUGUGUGUGUGUGUGUGUGUGUGUGAGCGUGUGUGUGUGUGUGUUAUAUGUAUGUAUGUAUAUUUAUGUAUGUGUUUUUGUAUCUGUGUUUGUCCCCCAUACCUCGCUUGACAGCGGAUGCUGGUGUGUUAACGUCCCUGUAACCUAGCGGUUCAUCAAAAGAGAUCCAUACAAUAAGUAUUAGGCUUACAAGGAAUAAAUCCUGGAGGCGAUUUCUUCGACUAAAAAACCCUUUAAGGCGGUGAUAUAACAUGGCUGCAGUCUAAUGACUGAAACAAUAAAAAAAUACACACAGACUCACAUACAUAUACACACAGAAAUACACGUACACACACACACACACGUACACAGACAUCCACACAUAUAUUCAACGAAGUCAAUAUGGUAGCGUGUACAUCGUUCCAAAACCUCAGAAGAAUUAUCCAAAGAAAAUAGGAAUAAUAUACUAUAUCUUACAUGAAGCCGGGUGGUCAAAGCUUGAGCGUAGAUUCAAUGAUCCGUUUGUUCGAUCAGAUCUAAACUAGAACUAAACAUCUCCAACAACAUUUUCCUGGUGAUAAUUUCCUUUCUGUGAUUAAUUUACAUGGAAUACUGUAGGAAAUUCGAAGCAAUUUCUGCUUAAAAUUAAACCUCAAACACUAGUGUCGGAGGGAGAACAAAUUAACAAAUUAAUGAGGCAUCUCAUACUGAGUAAUGCAACCGAUAUAUCGUUUUGUAUUCUGUAGAAAACAAAUACGAGUAAACUUCCAAAUAGCCUGUUACUCACCUAACAUGAUUUGCUCUUUGCUAUGGAAAAUAACAAAAAACAUCUGUUGAUUAGGAUAGUGAGGUAAACAUAAUCUCAACGUGUGUUAAAUUAGUGGAUAAAUUUAUAAAAGCUCAGUAGUGUAAUAUGUCGAUACUUUGCUUGCAUUUCUGACACCAGCUUAAGCAUCUGCGAGAGUUUGAUACGUAUAUUCUUCAUUUUUACUGAAUUAAACCUGCUUCAUCCAAAAAUAGAAACCGGUUGAGAAAUUCAAUUUUCUGGUGUUUCACACUACAUAAAUGAGAAUGUUUAUAAAACAAAAAAGAUAUCGACCGGAAAUACUAGUCAAUUAUAAAAAUAAACUUCAAAAAUUACGAUUUUAACUUUCCAGGAAAAAAAAUGUAAGUGACGCUGUUAUAUUGAUGAGUAAUGGCGUUUCGUUUUAUUGCAAAUCAUCACAUGAUUUCCUUUUUCCUUUAGAUUUGAAAAUUUAAAAUUUAAAUGUUAUGAGAUAACGCUUAUAUCUUGAGAAAUCCUCGUGUAAUAACAGGAGAGAUUAAUGAAAUGUCAGCAAGACUCGAAUAAAUUUCUAACGUUUUAAAAGGGUAUAUUCUGAUGAAGAUCAUAAUUGAUCUGACUAUUAAACUCGUCAAUAGGAUGAAUAGUUACAGUAUUUAUACAAAAGUUGUGUUUCAUCAAUCCGAUAAGUGAUCGACUUAACGUUUUUCUCUAAAAUACACAUUAAUUCCUACACAAUUCGAACUAUCAAACUUCAUAUUUAAACAAACGUUGUGCUCGUGUCAUCCACUUAAUAUGUCACUACUGUAGGCAUCUGGGGUGCAGGCUAAUGAUGACAAAGCGAUUAUGAAGAGAUGAUGAAGCCAUCAAAAUCAGUGUCAGCGUAUUCGCUGGGUAUAUAAUGGAAAUAUGAUGACCCAAAAGGAUUUAUUAGAAAGUUGUAAUAUAAAUACUUCUAAGUUAAAGAUAUAUAUAUAUAUAUAUAUAUAUAUAUAUAUAUAUAUAAUAUAUAUAUAUAUGCACCAUCCUUAGUGGUUAGCCAUAUUUAGAUGGCAAAUAUACUUCACGUUGUCGUGCAAUUACUGUCUGCACCUCGUUCAGAGAUUUAUUAUUGCUUGUUUACACUUUUUCAAGAUCAGUGACGAAAAGACACUGGAAAAAGGAUAUAUGUAUUUGCAUUGGGUCCCUUCCAUCGAAAACCAGUGAUUGUCGUGCGCUGAUGACGGAUGAAUACCCAGAAACUGCAUUCCGUGCGUAUCACUUAGGUUGAAGAGGGAAGGAUGAUCUCUCUUUGCAAAUAUCGAUAGGGCACAGAAAGUGUGUCAAUAGCCAGCUGGAGAAGAUGUUCUCCUGGGGCUACAAGCUACAGUAACAUCCACCCUUAGUGGUGAGCCAUAUUGAGAUGGCAAAUGUACUUCACAUUAUAUAUAUAUUAACAUAUAAUAUAUAUAUAUAUAUAUAUAUAUAUAUAUAUAUAUAUAUAUAUAUAUAUAUAUAUAUAUAUAUAUAUAUAUAUAUAUAUAUAUAUAUAUAUAUAUAUAUAUAUAUAUAUAUAUAUAUAUAUAUAUAUAUAUAUAUAUAUAUAUCACACAAAAUUUAAAGGACUGACCACUAAAAGUGGACGGUCAACAUGCUAGAUAUAGACGUCAAAUCGCUAUUUUCCACAAAGAAUAUGUUCUCAAAUAAAAACUCAGCACAAACCAAAGCAUUAAAAAUAAGCAAGACAAAUGAAAAUAUAUGAAAUAAAAAUGAUUACCCAUGUACCGAUCAGUUUCGAUUGUUAAUAUCCGCAAGGAUAAACUGCAAUCUCGUCGGCAUGGUCUGUCAUAUAGAAAUACGAUUUGCAGGACUAGAUGCAAAAACGUUUGACCGGAGUCUCGCAUGCAUGGAGUCCAAUCAAUUAUAUUUUUGUGUAUCUUUCAAAUGCCUUCACUUGGCGCGCUGAGAUCGGAAAAACUAUAUAUAUAUAUAUAUGCAUAUGUGGGCACUCGUGUUCAUUGUCCAGAAAUCUUUCGACACACAUCUAUAACCUCUUCAGCUACACUUUCCGUCUUCGUGUGUGCUCUUGCUUCACUUAUCUCAUUUUGUUCUUCUAUGAAGUGUGUUCUUAUAUGCGCAUGUUUUUUCACCUGUGUUUGUGUGUGUGUGUGUGCCAUUGUUCUUAAUAGCUCUACGGCCUUCUCCUCAGCCCCAUCCUCUCCCCCAUUUUCGCUGCUGCUGUCCUAGGACCCGAAAUUUGGUACAGUUUUUGUACCUCAUUGUGUUUGCGUGUUCGCCCACGCUGCUGCCAUCAUGCUAGUCGUUGUUGUUGUUGUUGCUGUUGUUGCUUGUUGUUGUUGUUGCCAUCGUUUUCACUGCUGUUACUGCUGUCGUUGUUAUUCGUGUUCUUGAUAUUAUAUCUUUUAUGGUUAACAAAAAUUAAUUCGUAUUCUUGAUGUUGUCGCACCCGUCUGUGAUGUUAGUGUGUGUUUCUAUAUGUAUAUGGGUUCGCUUCCUAUCUCGUGCCCUUUAUUCAGAUUUCUUUAUUCUUUAUUUCUUUAUCUUCAUUUCUUAUAUUUAUUACGGGUACGUGAUAAAUAUAUUUAUAAUAUUUUUAUUAUCUAUCUGUAUUUCUUACAUUAUCGCAGGUUUGUGUAUAUAUGUCUGCUGUGUUAGUAUUUCCGUAUUUGUGUCUGUGUUUUGGAAUAUUCUAUUUUAUUUUUUCCUCCUCUCUUCUCUCCCAUUGCCUUUAGUUUUCAUGUUGUGUGGUGUCAUGAUGGGCCUUAUUGUUCCAUUCGUGUUUUUUUUUAUUGAAGCCCAGUUUGUCUAUUGCUAUGUAUGUAGCAGCUUUAAAAUUUUAGAUAAAUGAAUUACGGUCAAGUUUGGUUCUCUAUUAACAGAUUGAUUAUUAUCAUUAUGUAUUUCGAUGACAUGUAAGUUAAACAGUAAUGUUUACAGACAAUUUUCCUGGACAUAUAUACCUUCAAAUAUGUCGGUGACGAGAUAUAUGCUAGCAGUAUCGGUGAUCAAGUAUACGUUCACUAAUAGAAGAAAUUGAAAAUCAAAUUUUAUAAAUCUACAACUGAACAUUGAUAUUGGUAAAAAUAGAUUAAAUAAGGGUACAUAUUAAAAUGAAAGAAUAAUGUCGGAAGUACAGUCUCACAUAAACACCGCGAUACAUUGAGGUUCUGUCGAAUAUAACAUAUGAGUGAAAUUGUAAUAUUUAUUUACAAAGAUACCGUAGUAACGAAAGUAGAUUGCCAUAAAAUUUAGUGCUUCUGUGUUUGAGUGCGUUUGUGAGUAUGUGUGUGUGUCUAUAUGUAUGUGUGGAUGUACGUAUGAAUAUAUUUAUAUCUGUGCAUGCAUUCAGCUGAGGAGUGGUGAAUAUUAUUACAUCUAUAUAUACAUAUAUGCGUAGGCUCAAGCUUCAGUCUACCUGCUUGCCUCCCAAUCUAUCUAUCUAUCUAUCUAUCUAUCUAUCUAUCUAUACUAUCUAUCUAUCUAUCUAUAUAUCUAUCUAUCUAUCUAUAUCUUUCUCUCUCUCUCUAUAUAUAUAUAUAUAUAUAUAUAUAUAUAUAUAUAUAUAUAUAUAUAUAUAUAUAUAUUUAUACAUAUAUAUAAAGAAGAAGAAAAUAUUUUGAAUGACACAACAAUGCACUGUAAGAGAAACAAUGGACUAUAAUAACUGUUGUAAAUUAAUCAUCCAUAAUCUGAUAUGAUAUUUCGGAAUAAAUGGUGGAUGAUGGAGAACUUCCAACUCCAACUCCCUAGGAGUUUAUAUUCCGAAAUAUCAUAUCAGGCUAUGGACGAUUAAAUUAUAAUAGUUAUUAUAGUCCAUUGUUUGUAUUAUAGUGUAUUGUUGUGUCAUUUCAGAGUAUUUUCUUCUUUACAAACAUUACACAAUGCUUCAAGCGAACUACAUUACUCUUCUGUAUAUAUAUAUAUAUAUAUAUAUAUAUAUAUAUAUAUAUAUAUAUAUAUAUAUAUAUAUACAUAUGUGUGUGUGUGUGUUGAUAGAUAUAACUUAUAAAUAUACACACAUAUAUAUAAACAUGUAUAUAUAUAUAUCCAUAUGUAUGUACAUAUAUAAAUAUAUAUGUAUUAGUUCUUCUAGUAAGAAAUUUGUAAUGAGGUAUAUGGUAAGUUUAAAUAGCUGCUUAUUUUGCGCCAUUAUUGUAUUUUGGCAAUCUUUACUUUUUGUUAGAAAGCUGAUACGUCUAUUUCUUUAUUCUAAGUUAUUUUUCGCUUUAUUAAGUAUUUAUAAAUCAAUUUCGAUAUUUAUUUUAGAGAUGGAUAAGUUGGAAAUUCGGGCAGUUUUAAAAGAUGAGUUCUUUCUUGGAAAUACAGUAUCACAGAUAGCUCGGAAUAUUAACGGAAUAUUUCAUUCUAAUGUUAUUACAUAGCAGAAAGAAUCAAAUUGGUUUGCAAAAUUUUGUUCAGGUAACUUUGACCUCACAAAUGAGCAAGGUGGUCGACCGAAAACAAAGGUGGAUAAUGACGAACUGAAAGCUAGCAUCGUGUCAGAUCCAUCUCAAAGUGCCCGUGAAUUAUCGUUGUUAUUUGGUUUUAGCGAACAAACAAUAUUGAUUCACAUAGUUCAAAUCGGUAAAGUGAAAAAUUUGGAUAAGUGGGUUCAACAUGAACUCAAUGAAAAUCAGAACCAGCAGCGUUUGUAAGUCUGCAUUAUGCAACUUUCUCGUCACAAAAAUGUGGUCUGGCACAGGCGUGAUCCAUUAUGAUUUUAUUAAACCUGGCUCAUCAAUCACGGCCGAUGUAUACUGCAGCCAACUGGACGAAAUGAUGUAGAAACUUACAAAAAAGAGCCGAGAUUAGUCAACAAAUCGACACCUAUUUUCUUCCAAGACAACACCAGACCACACAUCGCAAAAAUGACAUUGGCGAAACUAUAGGAGUUGGUGUUGGAAGUUCUCCAUCAUCCACCAUACUCACCUGAUCUGGCCCCCAUUGACUACCGCAUCUUCCAGAAUAUGGAUAACAUUUUGAUAAGAAAAAGAAAUUAAUUCCGACGAUAAUGUAAAACAGGCCUUUCAAGAUUUUAUUGACUCUGGACUGCCGGGUUUUUACAGUACGGACUGGACAAGCAACCGCUGAAAUGGAAAAAAGUGUAUUGACAAUAUGGGUGCAUAAUUUGAUGAAUAAAACUAUUUCUUGUAUUUAUAAAACAUUUUCAAACUUUUUUAAUUUUUACAAAUAACAUACUUGAUGACCUAAUAUGUAUGUAUGUAUGUAUGUAUGUAUGUAUGUAUGUAUGUAUGUAUGUAUGUAUGUAUGUAUGUAUAUAUAUAUAUACAUAUAUAUAGAUAUACAUUCAUAUGUAUGUAUAGAUGUAUGUAUGCAUAUAUGUACGUAAUCAAAGUACAGAGUAUUAUAGAUGCAUUACAGUCAAUCCUAGCAAUCGCUUUCACAUCGGAAAUCAAGUAAUCGGACGAAUAUCUAAUAAAUACACUCUUGGCAAACAGCAAGUAUAGAAAGAAUGGGUGAGUGCUCUUUGCUAUUGCAGGGAGGAGGAGGAAGUGUUACAUCUAGUUUGUAGGUGCUGUGAAAAAGACGAAACGAAGUCGUGAAAAGUAAGAGAGGAAUGUAUCACAGCACCUAUAAAAUAUAUGUCAUCUCACCACUUCCAUUAACAGAGAGCACUAGCCAGUUUUUCAUAUCUAUGGUCGAGGAAGUGCUUUUCUAUGGGAUAAUCGUCCCAUUAUAUAAUAUCUGGCAAAAAAAAAUGAUAAGUAAAAUCGGCUGUAAUGUAUCUCCAAUAAUGCGUAUACUUCCAUUAGGAUAACAUUAUUCACAAAUACACAUAGGCCUUUAUGUGGUUUUUGGAGUGGUGAAAUUAGAUACAGAGGACACUCUGCAAGAUAACGUGUAAACAUUAUAGUAAAAUCACCUUGGAUAGAAAAUGCGGAAAGGGUUUUCAAUCUAAAUUUUACACGCUGUAAUAAAUAACCCCAUCUGUCUCGCAAUAUAUAUAUAUAUAUAUAUAUAUAUAUAUAUAUAUAUAUUGUAUUCUUGUAUUCUUUUAUUGGUGUCAGUGAUUUGACUGGCAUUUAGUCGAACAAAUCGACUCAAGGACUUUGUAUGCCUAAUAUUUAUUUUAUCGGGAACUUUUGCUGAACUGCUAGCUUUCGGAGACAAACACAGACACAAAGUCAUAUACACAUAAAUAUACUUAUAUAUAUAUAUACACACGACGUUCUGCUUUCACUUUCCAUCUACCAAAUCCACUCACAAGUCUUUCGUCGGCCCGAGGCUAUAGUAGAAGACACUUGCCCACGGCGUCAUGCAGCAGGACUGAACCCCAAAUCAUGUGCUUGGUAAGCAAGCUUCUUAACACACAGUCAAUCCUGCGCCUAUGUGUGUGUGGGCGUUUGUUUGUGUCUCUGCGUGUCUGUGUGUGAAGGCGCAUGUUUCGUGUGUUGCACACGCGAUCUAUCGAUCAUGAUUUCAGUUCCCAGACCAGGUGGUGCGUUGUGUUCUUGAGCAAAGCACUUCAACUCAAGAUGCUCUACUGUCACUUCGAGCCCUGACGUAUAGUAUAGCGAGAAACGUCGAUUUGAAUGAGGAAGGGAUCAAAUGUACAUCACAUACAUUUGAUUACUACAAAACAAAGCAUUUGCAUAGGCUGUGCAGCACAAACCGAAAUCUGACACACCGUAUUCUCCGGCAGACUCUGAUUCCAUCAUAUGCAUAUAUAUAUAUGCAACUGUGAACAAAGCCCCCAUAUAUAUAUAUAUAUAUAUAUAUAUAUAUAUAUAUAUAUAUAUAUAUAAUGGGGGCUUUGUUCACAGUUGAUCUAAACGGAUUACGAGGAUUUCAAGCUCGUAAACGAGGCAGGAGUUAUUUUAGAAUUCCUAUAUAGCGGAUAUAAAUUUGUUAAAUAGGAUAACAAACACCAAGGCAAUAUAUCUCAAGUCACGUAUGUUAUUAUUAAAAAGUAUUAAGCAAUUUUAAAGCAGAGACAGCUCUAAGACUUUAACAUUGAUAAAAAAUUUUAAAUAAUAAUAACAUAUAUAACUUAAGCUGCCCUUCUUUGAUGUUUACAAUUUAUAUAUAUAUAUUAAUAUAUAUAUAUAUAUAUAUAUAUAUAACUCCAGUCUGAUCUAUAUGCUGUCAGUCAAUUGGCAGACAGAAACAAAAUGCAACUGAAUGAGGGAAAAUUUGAGCUGAUGCAUUUUGGAAGAAAUUCCUCACUAAAACAACCAUACUCUCUUCCUUCAGGGGAACCGCUCACAGCCUCUAACAAUAUCAGAGACCUGGGUGUAAUUGUUGAUGACGAUCUCAGUUGGAGUGCACACAUCAGCAAGAAGGUCGAUAUAGCUCGUAGGAUGAGUUCCUGGAUCUUAAGAACUUUCCGGUCCAGAGAACAAGGUGUCAUCAUACCACUUUUUUCCUCCUUUGUACGGCCACACCUUGAAUACUGCUGCCCACUGUGGUCUCCUCACACAAGACAAAACAUCUCCAGAAUUGAGUCACCCCAGAGGGCUCUCACUAAACAAAUUGAAGGCAUGGCUGCUCUCGAUUAUUGGGAUCGCCUUAAAGCCUUGAAACUUUACUCCCUCCAGCGUCGCCGUGAGCGGUACAUCAUUUGUACGAUGUGGAAAAUAUACCGCCAACUUUGCCCAAACGACCUAAACAUUAGCUUCAAGGUUCAUCCAAGACUUGGACCACGGGCUAUACGUCCCCUGCCCAAUUCAAGAUCACAACAUACAUGUACACUGCAACAUAAUUUCUUUUCCUCAACAGGCCCUGCCCUAUUUAACAUUGUCCCGAGGGAGAUCAAAGAGGAAAAGGAUCCCAUCAACUUUAAACAGAGUCUGGAUAGGUUCCUUCAAAGAAUACCAGAUAAGCCACCCAUAAUUGGAUACAACUCACCCAACAAGAACUCACUACUUGAACAAAACUGGAUACAACUCACCCAACAAGAACUCACUACUUGAACAAAACUUGACUUAAACAAAACUUGACUUAAACAGAAUUCAAAUAAUCCUAUCCGGUGGUGCUAUUAAGUUAGACAUGGCCUGGACCAAUCUUUGGUCGAAACAUAUCUAAGUUUAUUUAAGUAUAUAUAUAUAUAUAUAUAUAUAUAUAUAUAUAUAUAUAUAUAUAUAUAUACGCAAAAAGUGUUAAUUUAAUUUUUCAUUAGAUAUCUGCACAGUGAUCAAUAUUCUUAACGCUCCUAGAAUUACUGAAUGUCUAUUCAAGAGUUUACAUAAAGUUAUUAUUAUGUAGUUGUGUCAGUGACGCUGAUGUAUAUAUAUAUAUAAUUCAUAUAAAAUACAGUGUACAUUAAAACUCAUUAAGAGGCUUACAUCAUAGGAAUCACUUACGCUAGAAAGAACAGUUACAGUCCAAUUCUCGAAGGGAAUGAAAAAUUAAAAAAGUUUAUACUUAUAUAUAUAUAUAUAUAUAUAUAUACUUACACACACACACACACACACACACACACACACAUAUAUAUAUAUGUAUGUAUGUAUAUAUGUAUGUAUGUACGUAUGUAUGUAUAUAUAUAUAUAUAUAUAUUAGUUAUCGCCAUACUAAUAUGGCAUUCUUAUAAAAUAUUAGUAUGGCGAUAACUAAUAUUUUCCGGGAACGCUGCCGUUGUUCUCUUUUAGAGAGACUUAGUAAUUUUAAUAUUUUUAUUAUAUAUAUAUAUAUAUAUAUAUAUAUAUAUAUAUAUAUAUAUAUAUAUAUAUAUAUACAGAUAUAGAUAUAUAUGUAUAUAUGUAUGUAUAUAAUUGAAUUCAUUCAGUAGUCAUAUUAAUAGGACUUUCAGAAGUUCCUUCUUAGAUGGAAUUGGAAUAUUCCUCAUAGAUACAUCGACCAUUAAUUUUUUCCAUUCUACCGAGUUGAACAAAUAACACAAGACUACGGUAAUAGCAAAACAAUGAUAAAAGAGGUGAAGGCCGAAAUCCCUGAAAGGGAUGUCAAACAUCCAAUUCCGCCGGUACAAUCCGAGUCUAGAAUAUAUUAUAUAUACAAAAAUAUAUAUAUUCUUUACUUGAACUGUACUAGCGGACCUGGAUGUCUGACAUGACUUGGAAAUAUUUCGGUCGUCACCUCUUUUAUAUAUGUAUAUAAAUAUAUAUAAUAUUAUACAUAAUUCUAUGCAUAUAUAUAUAUAUAUAUAUAUAUAUAUAUAUAUAUAUGCAUAGAAUUAUGUAUAAUAUUAUAUAUAUAUAUAUAUAUAUAUAUAUAUAUAUAUAUAUAUAUAUAUAUAUAUAUAUGCGCAUAUAUAAACACACACACAAUCACACACAAGCGUAAUGUAUAUAAAGUUUUUAUUGCAGAAGUAUACAUAUCUCAACACAGUUUCUGGUUGGUUAGAUUCUUGAUUAGUAUUUCGACAGUGCUUCAUUAACAAGUAAUUGAGAUCAAUAUUCUCGUUAAUGACAAUGAGAAAUAUUUUAAAAUGCUGUCUACGUGUUUGUUAUUUUAUGCAUUAAGUCGUUACCACUUAGUUUAUAUGUUGUUUCAAUUCCUACAUCUCAUUAAACAGAUCUCUUUCUGUAAACUUUUGCCUCCUCUAUUUGUUCUUUUUGCGCUCAUUUACACAUAUAAAGACGCUUAAAUGUAAUCGGUUGGGAGAUGCAUACACUCUUACCUACAUUCAUUUCUGCAUACUUACAUACCAACCUACGUAGAUACACACAUACACACCUAUAUAAUAUGUAUAUAUACAUAUAUAUAUAUAUAUAUAAAUUUAUAUGUUUACAUGCAUAUAUAUAUAUAUAUAUCAAUUUAUAUAUGUAUAUAUAUAUACAUACAUAGGGCAUUUAAGUCUAUUCACAUCUGCUUGUAUGUAUAUAUACGUAUAUAUAUAUAUAUAUAUAUAUAUAUAUAUAUAUAUAUAUAUAUAUAUAUAUGUAUAAAUGUAUGUAUGCGGAUAUGUAUAUUUCUAUGUAUGUAUUGAUUUAUCGAUUAUUUUGCGUUGUGUUGCUGACGUUUUUCGAUUCUCUUAGAUAUAAAGAUGAAACAAAAAAUCAGAAAAUAAAACGUAUAUAUAUAUAUAUAUGUAAAGAAAAAAACUAAUUUUACUUUAACAACACAAUAAACUAAACGAUAGAGGAGAGUGAACAGGAGACAAAGAGAGAGUGAGGAAGAGAAAGAGGAAAAGAGAAGCGUAGAGAGAGACAUACAGACAGAUAUGAUAGACAAAGGAGAGUGAGGGAGACUGAUGUUGUGGAGAGGGAAAAACUAUUUAAGUCCCUCGUUUUCUCUCUCUCGCUCAGAUAACGAAAAUUCAGAAGAUAUGGGACCGCUUUCACGUUUAUAAUGCAACUAAAUUCUUUAGCAAUGGUAUACACACACACACAUACACACACAUACACACAUACACACACAUAUACAUAUAUAUUUAUACAUAUACAUCGUCUUUUGUCUUAUUUAAAAACCAAUUGUAAAGAGCCCUAGUUUACUCUCAGAGUAGAGUUCAGUUAAUAGACUGAAGAGAUAAAGCGAAAAAAAAAAGGCUCAUUGUAAGUGUACAGAAAAUGACAACAAAGAUCUACUUAAAACCCAUGACCCUAGAUUUGUACUUUAUAAAAAUUGUUACUUUUUAUUUUGUGGUGUAUGUGUUUUGACUACCUGUUCGUUUGCUACCGUCGUUAUUUUUUUUCGGUCUCUUUUAAAAUGGAACUUGCCAGUCAAUCAAUUUUAAUGGCAUUGGAUUGGUAAAGUCAUCUUGUUUACCAAGAGGCAUCGUCUUCUCAAUUGUCCCAGUUGCGACUUUGCAAUUACACACACACACACACACACACACACACACACACACACACACACACACACACACACACACACACACACACACACACACACACACACACACACACACACACACAUACAGAGAGACAAACUUAUAUAUAUUAAUGUACAUACGCAUGCAUACGUGAUUAGACUUGCACAUACAAACAGGAAGAUACACAGAAAGUAUACAGAAACGUGUACAUACAUGAAUCUAUACAAUAUAUACACACAGAAGUAUAUCUAUAGCUAGAUACAUAAAAAUCUAUAUACAUUACAUACAGAAAAAUUAAACCAUCAUCUCUUUUUCCCUCUUUCCCUCACUCUCUCUCCCCCUGUAGAUAUAUAUAUAUAUAUAUAUAUAUAUAUAUAUAUAUAUAUAUAUAUAUAUAUAUAUAUAUAUAUAUAUAUAUAUAUAUAUAUAUAUAUAUAUAUAGUCUGAUGCUUAUAGUAAUAUGUACAUUAUCGUGAGUUUCUAUAUGUUAGCGUGCAAGCAGUUUCACAGUAAUUACACGUAUUAUGCCUGAAGGUAUUUUCAUUUACGUUCAAAUACACAAAUGAUGUAUAAACAAUCUUAAAUUUAAAGUGGAAGGAAGAAACGAAUGUAGAGAAGGAGAUCUAUGUAAAUGCGUUUCCCAUAAAAGUACAAGAAACAUAGUGAUAGAAUUCCUUUGUACACGCUGAAGCGCUAGCGUACUAAAAAAGGAAUGGAAAGCACAAAUACACACACACUCAUACACACGCAACAUCGAUGUCACUGUGAAAUUGGUUCUUUUAAAUAUAUACAUGAUGCACUACUCGAAUAAAGCCCUACGUGACCCUCCACUGAACUUUCGGUUUGUACAUGGUGGUACAUAUGCAAAGUACAAUAACCUGUGUGUGUGUGUGUGUGUGUGUGUGUCAGAGUGUUGUGUGUUCGUAUAUAUUUCUUGUUCGUUUCUUCUUUUAAUUGUUUCAGUCAUUUUCACUGUGGCCAUGCUGAAACAUCGCCUUUUAGUCGAGAAAAUUGACUCCUUGGCUUAUUAUUUGUAAGCCUGGUACUUAUUCAAUCGGUCUUCUUUGCCAAACCACUAGGUUAUAUGAUAUAUGUGUGUGUGUGUGUGUAUAUACAAAUACAUACACAAACAUUCACACACGCACACACACACACACACAUAUAGAUAUACACGUUUACUCUUUACUUAUCACCCCUAAGAAGAAGUUGAUAUAGAUCCAUGUUGGUCAAUAACCAAUGGGAACUAAUUGACCAAUAUGGAUCUAUAUUAACUUCUUUUUAGGGGUGAUAAGUAAAGAGUAAACGCAUAUAUGCAUGUGCGUGUGUACGCACAUAUUCAUGUAUUUGCGCUUGUAUAUGAAUAUAUACGCAUAUACGUCUAUGCGCGUAUAUGUGUGUGCCUGUAGAUGUAUGUAUAUGUGUAGGUAUAAUCGUGUGCCUUUGUGUAUAUAUAUAUAUGAAUGUACAGAUACAUAUAUGUAUGUAUAUGUAUACGUGCGUACUUGCAUAUAUACACAUUUUCAUAAAGUUAUAUCUUAUAAACGAAUAUUCCAUUCUUUUAUUAACAAUUACCUUACCUUAUUUAUAUUAAAAUUUCCUCUAUCAUCUUUGUUUCAUUUAUUCAUCUAUUGUUCAAAUUCUGUUUACCAAUUCUAUCUUAUCUCCAAUCAACUUGUAAACCCCUCACCUGGACAUAUAACUACAAAUCAAAAACCGUAUCAUUCAGUCUCCUAUAAUGAUUCCAUAAACACAUAUAAAACAUCAAAGGGUAUAGGUUUUCCCUCUCAUGAUACUAUGCUCAGAUUAUGUAAAUAUAAAUUUAAUAUUUACUUAAUAUUUACUGAGUAUUCAUUGAAAUAGAUGUAAGUGAAGAUGAUUAAUUUGCUGUUAAUAAUAAACAAUUAACUUCCCAAUCUCCAUUUUCCUUUUCUUCUAUUAAAGAUAUAUAUAUAUAUAUAUAAUUAAUAAUAUCAGGGUAAUAAAGAUCUUGGAAAGUUUUACUACCAGUGGACUAGCGUAUAGAAAAAUUAGUCAAUAGUCUAUAUAUGAUUCAUAUAAAAUACAGCGUACAUUUAAACACAUUAAGAGGUAUCCAUCAUAGGACUCCCUUACGCUAGAAGGAACAGCUAAAGUCCAAACCACUAAUCAGGGAUAAAAUCUCGAAGGGAAUGAAAAAUAAAAACAUUUACCAUCUAUUUCUUUCAUUCCCUUCUAGCGUAAGGGAGCCCUAUGAUGGAUACUUCUUAAUGUGUUUAAAUGUACACUGUAUUUUACACACACACACACACACGCACAUAUAUAUACAUAUAUAUUAUAAAUGCCAAAACGAAUUUCUGUGUCAGUGUAUCACACUUUGACCCACUCUCUCACUAUUCAAUGAGAAUUCUACUAUUCAUCAUGUUCGGGCAAGAGUAAUAGUAGGUACAGAUACGGUGAGGGCGGUAGUAGAUUGAAAAUAUUGAUGGUAAUGGGGUGAUAGUAAUAGUAUGAGCUGUAGUUAUGACAGAGGUGGAGGCGACGGUGAUGAUGAUGGUGGUGGUGGUAGCAGAGGUAGUCAGGGCUGACGGUGAUAGUAAGCAAUGUGAAAGACAGUGGUGAUGGUGGUGGAGGGCAAGGCGGUGAAGUCUAAGGUAUUGAUGGUGGUGGCGUCAGAAGUCUGAAUGGUGUGUGUAUGUAUGGCAGUUGUGGUGUUGAUGCUGGUGGUACUGGUGAUGGUUGAAAACAAACAACAGAAAGAGAGAGAGAGAGAGAGAGAGAGAGAGAGAGAGAGAGAGAGAGCGGUUAGACAGAAAAUAUUGUACUGACUCUCGAAUGGGAAGAUAAAAAAAUGUUGUUUAUCAUGCAGUUUUGCAAUAUGCUCCUAGUUGACAGAUUAUAUCAUUGUUUUGAUGAAAUUGUUUCAUUGCUUGAGAAAUAUUGGUCAAGUUUAAUAAACGUUAAUAUGUACUGAAGGCCCAAUGAAAACCCUCUACAGGAGCUAGCUUAAAGGACGCCCUAUCGUGUGGUUUUAGUCGAAGAAACUGACUUCAGGACACUUUUAAAGCGUAGUACUCAUUCUGUCGGUAUUUUUUCCGCUGAGUUACGGGAAUGUAAAGAUACCAACAACGAAAGCUUGUACGUAAAUUGUAAUGAGUUGUACGGACACGAUAUUUCCUUAUGCAACCAGGAAUGUGUUUAAUAUGUAAAACUGGUAUAUCCAAUAACAUUACACUGCUGUGUAAAGUGGAUGAAGCUCUAUGUACUAGAUCGAAUGUGCUAUAAAGAUGGCGAAUAUUAUUUUCGGAAUUUCCUUUAUAAGCAUCAAUUGGCAUUGGCAGGUGAAACGGCCGUAAGAUAAGUUAUGUAAUGUUAUGUUAAGUUUUGUAUUAUAAAAUAAUUAACUGAUGUUGGUCAAUUUGUUUGCUGAUCAACAGUUUUCUCCAUUUUCUGCUUAUUUAAAUUGGAUUCCUAAUAAACUUUUGUUUAUUCAGUUAUUACCUGUACCCUAUGAGUAUAGUGUGCAUGCAUACCCAUACCCAGGAAUAACGUAAGUAAAUGAGACUGGUUAUAAGAAUGGAUAUUCUUAUCCCUUAGAAGGUUAUUCCAACCGCUAACUCUGCUAUAUAUAUAUAUAUAUAUAUAUAUAUAUAUAUAUAUAUAUAUAUAUAUAUUGAUAGACAGAUAGAUAGAUACGCAUUAAUGUAUAUACACACACAUAUAUAAAAAUAUAUAUUGAUGCAUACAUUUAUAUAUAAAUAUUCAUACACACACAUCAAGGCAGUGCCCCUGCAUGGUUGCCGUCUAAUGACUGAAACAUGUAAAAGAUACACACAUAUGUACCUAUAUAUGUUUACAUAUACAAAUACCUAUUAUUUUUCAUAUCCAUACAUAUGUAUAUAUAUAUAUAUAUAUAUAUAUAUAUAUAUAUUAAAUUUCUAAAUAUCUUUUAGAGAUAUGUACGGUGGUGGAGCAAGGGAGUGGUUGUAUACUGUCAACUUAACGAAGGACACAGGAAAUGUGUCAAGGCUGACAGGAAGCGUCGAUGCUUCCUAGGGCUAAACAGCGGUGAUGUAAUUCCCUUACAGGACUGUCACGUUAAGUUGACAGUAUACAAUCACUCUCUCUCUCCCGCCCCUCUCUCUCUCUCUCUAUCUAUAUAUAUAUAUAUAUAUAUAAUACGACAGGUUUCUUUCAGCCUCCAUGUACCAAAUCCGCUCGCAAGUGCUUGGUCGGCACGAGGUUAUAAGUAGAAGACACUUGUCACGCCUACGCAUAUAUAUAUAUAUAUAUAUAUAUAUAUAUAUAUAUAUAUAUAUAUAUAUAUACACUCACAUGCGUAUAUGUGUGUACAUGUACAUAGCUGUUCCUUAAUAGUAUAUAAAUUUUAAAAAGAGGAGCACGUAUCUCCACGAAGAAGAUGUCAACAAAAUAUCACAGCUACAUGCGGAGAAUUUCUGUUUCUUUUUAUAUAUGUAUAAGUUUUAUACAUAGAGUAAAGUUGUUACAUCUGUGGCUGUUGGUUUAAUGGGUUAGUGUCAGGAGAUGUACAGAAUAUUUACUUGAAGAAAAUGAUUCUUCAUUGCUGAGAAGCCCCAUUUCCUGGUCAAUAAAAUAUAUUCCGCUUCAUGUUAUAGACUGAUAUAGAAAUUAUUCCCGUGGGUAGGUUGAAUGUGUACACAAAAUAAUAUAUACACAUUUAGAUGCAUACACAAUUCAUCUCGACUUUUGCUAUUUGCGUCAAACACGCAUAGUCGUAGGCACAUACGUGUGAGUGCUUUUCAGCAUGUGGAUUUAUGUGUAAGUGUGUGUGCAGGCUACGAAAAAUACAAAAGGGUCAUAGAAAAAGUUUGUGUAAAUAAAAUUCCAUGCAGACAUUCAAUAAAAGUAUUUUUACCAAGGAUAUUAAUUAAAGACAAACACGCAUACUCACAGGACAUCGGUUGGCCCAAAGAUAUAGAAGAAGACUCUUGCUCAAGGAGCCAUGCUGUGGGACCGAACCCGGAACCAUGUGGCUUAGAAGCAAGCGACUCACCAUACAGCCACGCUUAGAUACACAAACACACACACACACAAACACACACACACACAAACACACACACACACACACACACACACACAUGCACGCACACAUAGUUUAUUCAAUAAAUUUGAUUCUUACAUCACUUUUUCAGGUGCAACUUGUCAUAACGGUGACAGUAAAUGGCGUUGCAUAACGUAUUGCUUAAAGUUGUAAUUAAGAUGUUAGCUGACAAGUAGGACUGGAUUUUAGGAGAGAUUACCUGUAUCAUAAUGAUUCGUGUCGAGUAUCAACAUGCCGAUAUGACAGCUAGUCUCUACUUCGUAUACAGAGUAAAAUCUGUGUAAGAUGUGACAUUGUCAGCUCUAAUGGAAACUGCGUCUUCAUUUCGGAUUUCACAAUGACUAAUUUGAACAGGGUCUAGGGUCAAUUCCGACCGCUAAUGUGAAGAUGCUGGAAAAUCUUGUCAUUCACUGGCUGGAGAGAAGUGAAGCUAUAGGUCAUAUCUGUGGCAGCAGGAUUCAGCUCAUUGUCAUAACUCUGGAAAUUUCGCAUGUGGUACACGGAGAAUUUCUACGAAUUCACCAGCCCCAAUUUUUGGCCUCCUGAUUCACCCAAUUGCAAUCCCAUGGAUUACUAUGCCUGGGCGUGGUUGAGAAAAUCAUGAAGCACUUAGCCUGAAGCACCAAAGCCGAGCUGGUGGCUAAAAUCAAGUAGAUGCUAAAAUAUCUUCCCGUGGACACUGUAAAGAACGUAUGUAUCACGUUCAAGAGCAGUUUUGAGGGCGUGGUUAAAGCUGAAAACGUUUACAUUGGGUAUACUGUUAUCUCACAGCCAUAAUCUAUUUUUUGAAAUACUUCUAAUUUUGAGUUGUAUAUUAUGUUUUCUUUUCCCGUUAUGCAAUCACAGAGAGAAAGAGACUGGAGUACUUACUUAUAUUAGCAUAUAUAUGUAUACAGAUGCUGCUCUCUGUAGGCUUCACCUAUUGCAUUUUAUAUUCCCGUCAUGUAGACAGCUGUAAUGGACCAGACAUAUGAUUGAAGGAAUCGAUCCGUGAUCAAUUAUUUUUGAAAGGCAUAUUAAUCUUCUGAACGUAUUACCCAAUCUGUCAUAGUUGAUAGUAUAUUCUUACUUCCCUGUUACUGAACCCUCAGUUUAUGCUCCAUAGAUUAUUUGUAAUGUAAAUGUGUUUAUGUACGAGUAAUUUCCUGUAUUCUGAAUUGUUUCAUAAUGUCCACGUGAAUUAUAAAGUCAUAAUAAUAGGACAGAACUCAAGUUGUCUCAUGAAAUAUAAAAUAGCCUGUGGUUUUUUUUUUUUUUUGAUACAGAGUGAAGUUUUCAUAAUCUCCGAUUCUGUUCUUCUCUUUUUGUUUCUUUUUUUAUCUUUGAUUCAUGCAGAUAACUAUUGAUCUUGAGAUAUAAUCUGAUUGUGAUUAAUAUGUGAUCGACAACAAUAAUUGCCAGAAUUAAGUUCUGCGUCUUCUCUUUCUCUUUUCAUAAAUCUGGGAAAAUUAAACAUUGUAUAUUAGUUUCCUUAUAUCAGUUUUAAUAUGUAACAGUUGAGCAAGAGUUUAGUCAAACUGUUUCGUCUCGAAGCAAAUCGAUUUGUCGCAUUAACGAAAAACUAAUCCAUCUCACACUCGAUCACACGACCUUUAUCACAUGAGGGAAUUUUCGUUGUUAAAUUUUGCUGAAUCAUUUCUCUAAUCACUAUAUCCUGCUUAACUCGACAUUAUGAUUAACGACAUCAAACCGAUAGAACCUCGCUUGCUGCGGAGAUAUUUGAUUAGAUUUUGGACAUUACGAACUAAUCUCUUAAUUAGUGAAUUACAAGUACUACACUGGAUUGUGGGUUAUCAAAAUCCCUAGAUAUUAACAGUGCAACAACCAAUUAUAGAUUUCGAUCUUGUGAACGUUACUGCGGAGAAAAUAAACGAUAUGAGUCUAUUUAUAGUUCGGGUUUAUGUAAGGCAGAAACUAAUAAUUUCAGUUCCAAAUUCCUUGGACAUUUGUAAUCUCUGAUUUCUUUUGAACCUUUUAUUUUAUUCCAGCUUACAUCUUCUUUAUCAGUUAACGUGAAUACUUGUACUAAUGGAGAAUAUUUCAUUAAACACAAACGUUCAUUUGAUUCUCAAUAUUCUGCUUCAUGCUUAAUCAUUCUUCUAUGAACUUAUACCGUACUUAACUGUUCCAAAAGUAAAUCAACUCUCUCUCUCGUCAAUGGGUUAACAAAUCCACCUCAAUCUACUUCAACAUUGUUCUGCGUAUAUAACUACUUACAGAAAAAAACAAACAAUAAGAAACAAACUACAAAACAAAGAAAAGUACAAAAAGGUGUGCUGUGUAAUUUCUGUUACUUAAUUCUUGUACAAUUUACUUUUGAAACAGUUUGGUUCGAUCAAGCUUUCACUUUGCUUCCUUGUGAUGAAAUAGAUAAUAUAAGGAAUACAAUAAUUCAUUUGAUGCAGUUCAUAAUUCGUAUGUUUGUGUGUAUUUUAUGUUAGAAACAUCAAUCAAUAUUUUUUGGUCUAGACAUCUACCUUUGUUUCAGCAUUUUUCCGUUCAUGAGUAACAGAUUGAAAUUUCCGCAACAAAAGUAUGCAUAUUUUAGUACUUUACAGAAAGGGAUAUAUUUACAUAUAUAUAUAUAUAUAUAUAUAUAUAUAUAUAUAUAUAUAUAUAUGUUUGUGUUUAUUUAUUUAUGUGUGUAUGUCUGUAUGUCUGUGUUUGUUUCCCUCGUCCAUCGUCAUCGCUUGACAACCGAUGCAGGUGUGUUUAUGUACACGAAACUUAGCAAAAGUGACCGAUAGAGUAAGUACUAAUCUUACAAAGUAUAAGUCUUGGGGUCGAUUCCCUCGACUAAAACCAAACAUGGCCACAGUCAAAUGACUGAAACAAGUAAGAAAAAAGAAUUAAGAAUAAAUACAUACAUACAUGCAUAUAUAUAUAUAUAUAUAUAUAUAAAUUAAUAAAUAAAUAAAACAUAUGCAUAUAUACAUACAUAUGUUUUAUUUAUUUAUUAAUUUAUUAUAUGACGGAACUCACGCAUCCAUUUCUAAAUAAGAUUGUUCUUUAUAUAUAUAUAUAUAUAUAUAUAUAUAUAUAUAUAUAUAUAUAUAUAUAUAAAUUUAUAUAAAUAAGGAUAAAAUCGUUAAUCAAAUACCGAUCUUAUCAGGUGGCCAGCAUGGGAAUAAAAAACUUCAAGGGUAAUAAUUAUUACUGAAAUUAAAAUUCAGGGCAUCUAAGAGAUGCCACCACGCUGGAAAUACCAGCCAAAACUUGACUCUAAAACUAUAUGAAAUGUUCAUAUAGCACUAGGAGAGAAAGUCAGAGAGACAAAAUAAACUUGUAAAAAAAAAUUACUGGAAUUAUAUAUAUAUAUAUAUAUAUAUAUAUAACAUAAUUACACGACACAUAUAUAUAUAUACACAUAAAUAUACGACACAUAUACGCGCACGCGGACGCAGUUACACACGCACACGUAUAUAUGUAUCUCUCUCUCUAUAUAUAUAUAUAUAUAGAGAGAGAGAUAUACGUGUGCGUGUGUAUCUGCGUCCGCGUGCGCGUAUAUGUGUCGUGUAUUUAUGUGUAUAUCUAUGCACAGUCACAUAUAUGCAUAUACACCAAUAUAUAUAUAAGUGUAUAAGCAUUUUAUGAAAACAUAGAAACAUUAAAGACCUAUCACGAUAAGAAAAAAUAUGGAUAAAAUUUUAAUAUUAACAUAAAAGCGGUUCUCUUCUCCGAGGAGAUAUAUUCACCCUCUCUGCAAUCUCACAGUAUUCGAGUAAUCACUCUCUCUCUUUCUCUCCUUUUGCUCCGUAAGCAGCAGCAGCUAAAUAACCACGUAUAUCUAUCUAUCUAUCUAUCUAUCUAUCUAUCUAUCUAUCUAUCUAUCUAUCUAUCUAUCUAUCUAUCUAUGUAUCUAUUAUCUAACUAUCUACACACACAUAUAUACGUAUAGACACAGAAUAUGAGGAGUUUAAUUCACUGGUGAUCUAAACAAAUAGGUACGCUGAGUAAGUGCUAUCAUUGGUCUAGCUGAGGCUAGAGCUAGGGAUCUGUAUUAGGGUCUCAUGUUAGCAGAUAUAUAUUAGAUGGAAAGGACAAUAAAAUCCAAGGGUGUGUAUAUAUUUUUAUCAUUUUGCUUCAUUAAAAGCCUAUGGUCAUUUUAUAAACAAACUAAGAUAUAUUCAUAUAAGGAGCACACCAUUGAUUUUAGUUUGAUCGUUAGAAAAGAGAGACUCAGCACGGCCAAUACAUAUUCAAAUAUAAUUUGGGAAAGCCUCUACAAAGUCAAUUACUAGUUGCAUUUUGCAAAUAAACUUGCUUCAUCUUCAAAGGUGAAGGAUACAUUUAAAUGUACUCUUAAAUACCUUCUCUACAUAAAAUUUGCAAGCAAACACAUGGAUAUACACUCACAGAUACACACACACAUAUGUAUGUAUAUAUAUAUAUAUAUAUAUAUAUAUAUAUAUAUAUAUAUAUAUAUAUAUACACACACACACACACACACACACACACACACACACACAUAUAUAUAUAUAGGCACAUGCAUGCACGAAUAUACACACACAUACACACACUUAGACUCACACAUAGGCAUGAACGUAUAAAUGCCUGUAUCUAUACAAAAAUAAAUACAUCUAUAAACAUCCAUCCAUACAUGUUGACUGUAUGUUUUUUAUUGCGUGUCUACGCAUCUGUAACGAUAUAAUUACAAACAAGCGCCAUUUUAUUACCACAUGAAGUAAUUAUCCUAUGCAAAUAAUUUGAAGCUAAACACAACUCAAUAUCUUCGGCAGACGACUUAUUUCACUCUCACAGUAAUACUCUAUGCUUUAUAUAUACUUCUCUUCAACGAUGUUGACAACAGAAAGGUAAUUUGAUAAAAAAAUAUUUAAUCAAUAUGUUGCCCAAAUGUCGCAAGCUUGAUAGCCUUGAACAAAAGGAAGGAAUGCUAGACGAAUAGAUGAUACUUGAAGAGAAACGGCGACAUCAAAGCACAUCAGAUCAGAUAAAUAAAUAAAGAUAUGUGGGAAGUUUCUCAUUAUGAUUCAAUUUUCAUGAACAUCAUUAAAAUAUUUUUACUAAUGUUUACAUGCUAACAAUCAUGAAUCAAAUGUGGAGCAAAGAUAUAGAAACAGAGGCAAGAGGAAUGUGUAAUUCAAGUAGGACGUUUCAUCUUACAAUGUUGCUAGAGCCUUCUGAGUUAUUAGGUGUAAGGCUAAAAGACAUAACUGCAGCCUCUCAAGUACUUCCUUAUAACAAUCCACAUCUAUCACUGCGUAAGACAAGAGCAACACAAUUAUUUUUCCUUUAUUUCAAUUUCCAGUGAAUGCCAAUCUUCUGUAGUUAUUCUUUGUCGGUGAUUUAAGCAAGAAAACUGGAGAUAGAUAUAGGAAAUUUCAUGGCUUUCGCCCAAUUUCAAAACUGCAAGGCAAAAUAUAUUGAGAAGAAAUAUGUAACUUAGUGAACAUAAAAAAUUGGUAGUUAUGUUGAUAAAAGUCUUGUGUGUGGAGCGGAAAAUACUGGCGAAAAUUUAAUUAGACAAUACAGCGUGGUGGCGGUGAUAUAAUACAAUUUAUGACAAGGAAUGAAAGAGGAGACCUUGAGAGGUUAAGGAGGCAAACAGGACUUGUGUUACCCUUAGGUAUCAUAUUGUGCUUAUUAAUGAAGAAGACAAAUUCUCUGGAUAAGAUUAAAAGAACAAAAAAAAAAAAAGAACAGAAAUCCUGCAAAGAUGCAUGCAAUAAUUUUUAUGCAUGUCUCCUCAUACAACAUUCAUUGUACUACGACAUUGUUAAGAUUUAUAUCGACCAAUAUUUUGUUGAAAUAUCUGCUAAACUGCAGAUCGAAAGAUUAAAUUUCGUUAGAACUCAACAUACGAAAAUGGGCGCUAGGUGCAUUUAUAAUGAUGCACGGAAGGAAGGCCUUUCACAAUUAUGUUUCCUACCAUUAGCUAAUGGUAUAUGCUAUAUUUCUCAAAGAACUUACAUCACAACGAUAUAAAGUGACGUCCUCAUUUGAUUAUAAACUUCCCUCUCAAACCUAUAUGAAAAGUGAUUAAGGAUGAACUUUACUGACUGCGAAAUCUAGCCAUGAUAUAUAUAAAGUGGUAAAUGAGGAUGAAUUUACAAAGGUGGUGAAUCUUAUUUCAAUAAUUCUAAGGUCAUUGGUACUACAUAAAGUCAAAUAUAUAAUAUUGAAUGCCACACUCGCAUUUGAUAUGGACACCUGCGUGUCAUCGGAAAAAUCAUCAAAUUCGUUCAAUGGGUUCCUCGCAAAUUUUCCGAGUCUAAUCGCCCGAUGCUAGUGGAUGUGUGCUUUACUUUGAUGUCACGUCUCACGAAUGAACCUGUUUUUGACCGAAUAGUGACUGGUGAUGAGAAAUAGGUUCUCUAUACAAAUGUCACCUCAGUCUAAACAAUGUAUUCACCCACGCAAGGUGUUGUUAUCUGUUUGGUGAGAUAUGAAAGGUUUAGCUCACUUUAAACUUUUAAACCUAAACAAAACGAUAACAAAGAUCUACUGCGAGAAGCUUGUUCGGCUUAAGUUAGCGCUAGAAGAAAAACGACCACCUUUGCUUUCAAGACGAAAGGUGUUCUUCCAUCAGGAUAAUGCUCGGCUACAUACAGUGAAGAUGACAUUCGAAAGGCUGGUGCAGUUUGAAUGGGAAAUGAUGUCCUACUCACCAUAUUCGCUGGACAUUGUCCCAUCUGGUUAUCAUUAAUUCCGCAGUCUUGAAAAUCAUUUGGACGGAAAAAAUAUGAAUUCUGUAGACGAGAUAUCAGAACAGUACUGGAGGAGUAUUUCUGGUCACUACACAAAUAAAUUUUAGAAGAGGGGUCUUGCAAGCCUACUAGAUAGAUAGAAGAGCAUUGUAGAAAAUGAAGGAGAGUAUAAUUUAGAUUAAAAAAUAACUUUGUUUAUUUUAAUUUUGAAAAAUUAAAGAAGUAUAAAAACCGCAUUAUUUAUGAGAUGACCCAAUAUCAUGAAGGUGGUUUCAUUUCACUGAUGCCCUAUUUUACACGGUCAUAGUUUCAAUUCAGGUGAAAUUUCAGCAAUGUGGGGAGAGGAAUUGCAUAAAAUCGCUUGUGUCAAGAGCCAACUACCUGGCGAACUCUGUUUUCUAGUAAUGGCUAUUGUCGACGGUGUAGGGUUAUUACAACAGGUGAUUUCGGCCGUUUACGGCCGGUGUCAGCGUGUAUGCAUACAAUUAUGUGCGUUGACUGCAGCAUCAGAAUACUUUAGCUCUCAUUUCUAGAAUUGCAGGUGUUUUUAACACCCUCUGUCAUUUUUGAUGACAAUUAUAAUAUAUAAAUAGAUACAAGCACACAUAUACACACACAUAUACAUAUACAUAUGUAUAUAUAAUUUUUAUGUGUGCGUGUAUAUAUAUAUAUAGAUAUAUAUAUAUAUAUAUAUAUAUAUAUAGAGAGAGAGAGAGAGAGAGAGAGGGAGAGAGAGAAAGAUCGGGGGAGAAAUAGUGAGUGAGAGAGAGAGAGAGAUAGAAAAGCAGAGGUAGAUUGAUAAAUACGUGCACAUAAAAUACAAUACAGAUUUCUAACUUAUAGUAUCUACAAAAUGAAAGUACCAUCAAUUAGUAUAUUACAAAAGAGAAUACUAACAAGAAAAUCAAGACCAAUACAAUGCAAUGACUACACAAUAAUCAUACAAUAAUUACACCAUUAACAUAAUAUCAUUAACAAACAUAAAUUGAAACGAAUAUUCCUACUCAUAUCGUAUUUUGAAAAGUCGUGUUUAGUGAUCAUAUCUUCUUAUACACUUGACGGAGAAAUAUUUUCCCGCAGUCCGUUGACUGUAAAAAGAAAUAUUUUCCUGGUUACAUUCUUGAGAUAAUGUGUACAUAGAAUAUAAGUAAAUAAAAGUAAACGUUUCGAAAACAAAAUUCCUUUAAGAAACAGUAUGAAAAAAAUGUAUGAUGUUAUUUUCUUAAUAGAUAUAUCUGAAAUUAAUAGAUAAUAGGAAAAGAAAAAGAGUAAAAAUGAAAGAAACUAAUCUAUUGAAAGAUGUAUGACUUGUUUAAUUGGGAAUUGAGAAAUUACAAUAAUAUGCCCGAAGAUGUUAGUGUUAGCGAUUGUUCCAUUUAUUUAGGCGUCAAAGUAUUAUAAGACAAAAUAAUACAGUCUAGGAGCAUUUUACGUUAUAUCAAUUUGGAACUCAGGUGAAA
rnacentral:lncRNA from 1 species